rnacentral:lncRNA from 1 species
UCUGAAAUGAUUUCGCUUCCAUCUCAGUCGGUGCGACUGCUGGAAAGAAGGCUGGAGGACAGCAAGAGCGGAAGAAAGCCUCAACCAGGCUGAUUAAAGUCUUCCCUCUGAACUACAAUGCUGUUGACAUCUCCAAUGAUUUGGGUAAGUUUAAAGCAUGCAGCGCUGGAAGGAGACGGCUGUGCACAAACGGAAGGAAAAACUGGCCAAGACCGUAGCAGUAAAGGAAGGUGGGAAAGCUGGAUGGUGGUGAAAGCAAGGAGAAGGAAUGGAGUCACAUAAGAAUGGGCAAAUCUGUCAAUUUCAUUUGCUCAUUUUUUCAACUUUAAGUUUGGUUUUCCACAUAAAUUUUCAUUUUAACAAAAUCCUCAUGAAUAUUCAUUAGCAUUUCAGUGCAAAUUUCCCUUUAUACACACAUUUUCCAAGCAAUCUUGCCCCAAAUACAUAAUUCUGCAAAGCAAUUUUCCCACAUGUAGUGCAUUUUGUAUAUUACCCUUCCCUGCUAUAUGAGUUGUUAUGCACACUUGGCAAUAAUAUAUAUAUUUUCGUAUGCAGUACUUGGAUGGAGAACUGCACCACAAAAUUUGGAUAAGUUUACAUUUCAAAGGAUGGCUUUGUUUCAGUCUAUGUAUUGUUUUAGGAACAGCAAAUAAGGUAUGCUUGCCUUUAGAUGUGAACUCAAUUGAAUUCCUCCGCCAAUCCCUAGGUGAGGGUGGGGGUGGGAGAUGUCAAUUUCAACAAGGGGAAAUAUGUUUUCAGCAGUUUUUUUUAUUAUAAAAAGCACACCCUUGAAUACAUUUAAAAUACAGUUGUUAAAAAAAUCCCAAACACUUGUUGUUUCAAGACAUUUGCUAUAACUUUUAUGUGCUUCGUAAUAAACUAUGGCAGUGUAAGUAGAGUCUUGCUGCAUAAGAUAAAUGGUAAGGUAAAGGUAAAGGGACCCCUGACCAUUAGGUCCAGUCGUGACCGACUCUGCGGUUGCGGCGCUCAUCUCACUUUAUUGGCCAAGGGGGCCGGUGUACAGCAUCCGGGUCAUGUGGCCAGCAUGACUAAGCCGCUUCUGGCGAACCAGAGCAGCGCACGGAAACGCCGUUUACCUUCCCGCCGGAGCAGUACCUAUUUAUCUACUUGCAUUUUGACGUGCUUUUGAACUGCUAGGUUGGCAGGAGCAGGGAUUGAGCAACGGGCGCUCACCCCAUCGCUGGGAUUCGAACCGCCGACCUUCUGAUCGGCAAGUCCUAGGCUCUGUGGUUUAACUCACAGCGCCACCCGCGUCCCAAGAUCAAUGGUAAACUCUGCCAAAUCCAGGAUUCCAUUUUUCUCAAUGGUCAGCCAAAUGUCCACAAACAGGACAUGAAUGGAAGGGCAUUAGAUUGCAGAUGAUUCAUAUGUUUCUUCAUCAUUGCAUGAAGCCUGGAAUGGUUGAAAGCGCAGUGGUUUGACUAGUGGUCAUUCUGUGUUUCCAGAAAUAACUGAAAAGGACCUGACUGUGGACAGUAGCCAACUAAUGAAUCCAAGGAUUUCUACUUGUGUAGCCGGACUCCCCCCUUCUCUCCCUGUGUGUGUCCUGAGCCCUCCCCAAAAUCUGCUUCAGGGGGUUGGGAGAAGCCCUAGAACAGAUUUAGGUGAGUGUAGGGGAAGGAGAAAACUCAGCACUAGUUAAGCUGCAAACCUAUAUUUUGAACCCUCUGGAGUGGCAUAUAACAACAGGAACAACUGGCCUAUGGGUUAAUCUCCCCACGAGCAUGGCAGCAUCAAAGUAGAGCUGAGUCAUGAAAAAAGCAGUAGGGGAGAAAGCAUUCUCAAACAACAGCUCCCAUCAUCCUCGACUAUUGGUCAUGUUGGCUAGGACUGAUGGGAGUUGGAAUCCAGCAAUAUGUUGAGGAAGCCUGCCUGCGUAAGAACAUAAACGUUGGAUUGCUUGAUCAGCAAUGAGAUGAUCCAUCUCAUUCAGCACUAACUAGGACUGCCAUGUGUUGUGCUUUACAGAGAACAGGACUCUGUUUGAAGAAGGUCUCUAUGUGAAGGGGUGUCCAGUUCAAAGAACCCUAAGAAGUGAGAAUAGGGGCCUUGAAGUUGCCCAUCAACUCUUAGCGCUUGAGCAGACUGAGGAGCCCCAACAAAACCUGGUGGGCAUCAGGUCGGGGAAGGCUGUUCUUAUGAGUAAGGAAAGGUUGUUUCUCACUUUAUAUCAAAGAAUCCAGUUUCUGUUGAAAAGGCAGACCUAAAAGUCCAAUUCAGAGUGCUCACUGGCAGCAUCUCUCAUAAAGCUCAACAAGCUGGAGGUGCCAUUUAUUUGUAACUGUGUGUACUCACCAUUGUAGCUGAUUCUCCAGCGAGCCAUUCUGGUCAGCAGCAGUAUAAAUUGAUUUCCCAGUUCACACAUAGCUUUGGAAUAAAUGCUGCUGGAACCCAGGUAUACCCAGCUCCUGUUCUGCAGCGGCUGCCCAGCAGAAAAACCAAUUAAUUGUUGUGGCCAUGGCAAACAGUGCACGCUGCUCAGGAUGCUAAGAUCUCUGACUGGGGGGAAAUGCUCCCCAAUCUGUACUUUUAGGAUAUGCUGCCAUUGGGCUUGCAUAAACAUUUGUGACAAAUAAUUUAUAAAUAUAUAUUUAAAAAAGAAAACGUCAGAGGCAUUUCUAUGUAAAGCCCCCAUUCUUAAUUUUGAUUUUAAAUGUCUCGGCUGAACAGCAGGUGCUCCAGACAGCCACCACACCUCAUUUUAUUCCUCUUGUUCUGAACUAUACAGUAGUUAUUUCUCAUAUAAGCCUGUUCCAGACACAAAAAGCUCAAGAUAAAUGCUCACUUUUCAGUGAGAGCCUCCAUAUUAACAUAUUGCCAUGUUGCUCCGUGUUAUGUUGGUACUAGAUACUUUCAUGUAAAACAACCACCACCACCAGAAAUAUUGAUGACUUGCUUGAUUUGAAAUGAGCAUUUAAUCUCCAGAAUGCAUUUAAAGGAAAUUGGCCAUGAAUUACUUCUGAACAUCAUAAUCUCCCAAAACAAAAGCCCACCUAUCGUAGAAACGUGAGUCAAGUUUGUGCUUUGUAUCUAAUGCAGUUUCACCCACACACAUUAGUGUGGGAGUGACUGAUUGCUUCGGGUUCCAUUUGCAGUGCCUCAAGAAACAAGUUAAUGAUAAAAUAAAAUGGAAUCUCAGUGUUGAUGAAAUCCUGGACUGAAAGAUAGAGGCGACGGAGGCCUGAUCCUUAUGCGUUACUUUUCUGGUGGUGAUGGUGGCUGGAUGCAGUGGUGCACUGGAAGAAUCCUGGAAAGGCAGAGGCCUUGUGGGUGUUCCCAUGCCCAAGAGAGAGGUCAACUGCCUGUUCUGGAUAGAGUGGAACGCCCUCUGCAGGAGCAGGUGCACAGUCUGAGAGUCCUUCUUGAUCUAUCACUUAGAGGUCCAAGUGAUGUCUGUGUCCAGGAGUGCUUUUUGCCAGCUCUGGCUGGUAAGACAGCUGUGACUGACAGCUGGACUAUGACAGCCUGACCACAGUGGUCCAUGCAUUGGUAACUUUAUGGUUUGGUUAAUGCAGACCCUCCAAGUGCCCCUAUUUUCCAGGGACAGUCCUGGAUUUUCAGAAGCCGUCCCGGUUUCUUCUUUGAUCCUGGAAAUCCACUCCACUUCCCAGUGGGGAGGAGUUGUGGUGGACUGCGUGGUCACCCACUCCCCUCCGGGGGAGGGGGACUUACCAUAGUCCCCUGCUUUUACUUACGGCAGAGAAAUGUUGGAGAGUAUGGAGUUAUGCAACCCGUGAGCCAAGGAGAUAAGUAACCAAACAACCCUCAGAAGACAUCUGAAGGCAGCCCUGUUUUUUAAUGUUUCAUGUUUUCUUCUGUUUUUAUAUAUGUUGGAAGCUGCCCAGAGUGGCUGGGGCAAUCCAAUCAGAUGGACAGGGUUGUUGUUUAGUCGUUUAGUCGUGUCCGACUCUUCGUGACCCCAUGGACCAGAGCACGCCAGGCACUCCUGUCUUCCACUGCCUCCCGCAGUUUGGUCAGACUCAUGUUUGUAGCUUCGAGAACACUGUCCAACCAUCUCGUCCUCUGUCGUCCCCUUCUCCUUGUGCCCUCCAUCUUUCCCAGCAUCAGGGUCUUUUCCAGGGAGUCUUCUCUUCUCAUGAGGUGGCCAAAAUAUUGGAGCCUCAGCUUCAGGAUCUGUCCUUCCAGUGAGCACUCAGGGCCGAUUUCCUUAAGAAUGGAGAGGUUUGAUCUAUUUGCAGUCCAUGGGACUCUCAAGAGUCUCCUCCAGCACCAUAGAUGGACGGGGUACAAAUAAUAAAAUUCUUAUUCUUAUUAUGGAAUAGGAUAUCUUUCAUUAGAGAAAUGAUGGUGGGUAUGUUAGUGUGGUUUAUAGCUGGGAAGCUUCAGCUAGUGAAGACGGCUCACAGGAGCAGAUUACCGGCAACAUGUUACCCCACUGCUGAGAAAGCUGCACUGGUUGCUGAUUUGCUACCAUGCCCGCUUCAAGUUUCUUAUGUUAAUUCACAAAGCCCUGAACAACUUGUGCCCAACAGCUUGGAGAACUGUCUGAUCCCUUAUGGUCCACUUUGAUCACUGAGAUCCUCUGAGAGGGUACUUCUGGUGGUUUUCCACACCCCUGAGGUUCAGUUGGCCUUCACUGCAGACCGAGCCUUUAGUGUGGUAGGCCCUACCCUGCGGAACUCCCUAGCACAAGGAGUUUGUCAGAAACCAUCCCUCCCUUCCUUCAGAUGUCUUUUGAAAACUUCUUUGUUUAGACAGGCCUUUCCAGCACGAAUUUUCUUCUUUAAUCCAAUCAGUAUUGAUGCUUGCCAUGAUGUUUUUAGAGAUAAUUUUUACAUAUUCUAUCCAGCUUUGCUUUAUUUAUGAAAGUACAGAUUAUAAAUUCAUUUGUAAAUAAUUGAGUACUACAAGCUAUUUUGAGCAUUAUUCUUUGAUAUUCUUUUGCAAGGAAUUGAUCUUUUGCAAAGAAUUGAACUCCCUUGAUAUUAACAUCAGGCAAUCCCUUUUUGUACACAGUUUUAGAACCUGCUAAAGCCAGUUGGAUAGAGCGUGAUGCCGAUAACACCAAGGUUGCAGGUUCGAUCUCCAUAAGGGACAGCUGCAUAUUCCUGCAUUGCAGAGGGUUGGACUAGAUUAUCCUUGGGAUCCCUUUCAACUCUAUGAUAUGCCAGUGUGGGGUGGAGCCAGAGUAUCUAAUGUGAAUUUCACCUAUGUAUAGUAAGCUACUCACACUCCUUUUUAUCAGGACAAGGAAAAGGCCUUGUGAGAGUUCAAUGACACAUUCUGGCCAGGCAGGGCCAGUGAGGUCUGUGGCCUGGGGACAGUUCUGAGGGCCAGAUACAAAGGAUUGAAGGGCCACACCUGCCCCCUGGGCCUGAGGUUCCCCGCCCUCAAAUGACAGUCUUACAGCUGUACUUCAGCUUUUCAUAAAGUUGCCUUUUCAUUCCAAGCGAUGCCACAGACUGCUACUGCUUGUCCAGUUGCUCCUACAUUUCUGUCAAAGUGAAUAUAUUUCACAGUUCAUCAAGGGUUAACUAUUCAGUUGGCUGGAGAAGGACGAGGGGCAAAACAACUCCAUAUGUGGACCAUGAAGGAAGAGGUGAAAUUAUAUGUACUGUUCCCUACAGCUCCUCUGUUAUAUUAUUCUCCACAGCCCUUCCCCAAAUUUAUUGAGCUAUUUCACUCGGCACAUAAAAAUCCCUCUUUCGGCUGUGCGCUGAGGUCUGCAAAUAAAAUAGAGCCUGAAUCGGAAGAGGAAAGCACUUGGUUCCCCCCUCUCUCAAAAAAAAAACCAAAAAACGGUGCAGGCAUAGCAAUGCCGCACAUAGAAUAAGUUUGCGAAUAUUUUCUAAAGGCAGGACCAUGCUUGGGGCUAUAUCUGAACUCAUCAUUGCCAACCGCCCAGCUGACAGACCUGCUGGAGUAUUCAUGGGGUGCCCAAAAGCCACCAUAACAGUGUGACUGCCAAUCUAUCAUUCUACUAACUGAAAGUUGCAGUUUUACUGUCAUGCAGUGGAUUAAUUUAGCUCUGCAAAGGGGAGAGCCUGUGGUUCUUCUGUCGUGGGCAGUGAAAGGAUUGAGCCAACAUUUAAGCAUCCUGCCUUGGUCCUCUGUCAAAAGAAAACAGUAGGGGAAGGUGAGGUGGGCCUCUGCUUCCCCUGGAGAAAGAGUGAUUUAGGAGUAGAUUUGUUACCUUUUAUAUACGUACACAUGAGUAUCAGACGCCGUUCUCUUUGGUUCCGAUCUUGCCUAAGACCAGGCCUUUGGUGAAAUGAAUGAGAGACUUGUUUCACUAAGGGGCUGAGGUUUCUGACCCCAGCGACAGUAGGUUUGAGAUAUUUGUGACACUCUUGAUCCUUGGAGAAAACACUUCUCGCUGGGCUGCCAUACAGGUGUGAGCAAUUGACCCUGGACAGCCAUUCUUUAUUGGUUUUUAUUUUGUCAGAUGCUCUUUCACUUUAGCUAUUACAAGGAGUAAUCGCUUCAGACAGGCAGGGCUGAGAUGAUUGGCUGUUGCCUCUUUUUUCCAGAGUAUCACAAUCAUGCACUGGUUGGAAUUGGCUUUGCAGCACAACAGCUGUCUUAUGUUUUCUGAAAUAAAAAAUCUGAACGUUUCAGUUUCUUUAAACACAAUACUUAUUCCAUUCAUAAAAUUAAGAUUCAGCUUUCAUUUAUGUGUAACUUUCAUUUUUUAAUUUAAUUUGAUAUUAAUGUAAAAAAUACUGAGCUAGAUAGACCAUUGGUGCAACUCGAUAUAAGGCAACUUCCUAUGUUCCUAAUUUUGGUGAGUGUAACUAACAAAGUGAUCUGUGUGUGAAUUCAGGAGAUCACCACCAUUGAUGUUUAGUGAGCAAAUUAAUAUUCUGUUGGGUAACACACACAAAGCAAGUCUUCAUUUCCAUCCUAAUCACUACUGGGAUUUUUAUCUGGAGAACUAAACUUAGUUUGAAUUUCUACUGAUCCACUAAUAUUGCUUCAGUGAUAAUAUUUAAUAAUUUAUUUUUAUUUCUGUUUAUAUUGAUUUAAGAGUUUUCUUAUUCUAGAGUUAUUAAAACAUUCCAGAUUAGGCAGGCUGAUGGGAGUUCAAAGGUGAACCAUAAAUAGCUUGUUGGAUUUUUUUUUAAAGAAUAAAAUUACAGAAAUCUCUGUGUUCACAAGACUGUUACCUGUAAUUAUCCUGUCUUUGAUUCAGCAGUGAGGGAAUGAAUUGUAUGGAACUAUACGCACAGAAUUCUAGCUAGCACCUUCUUUUGUUUCCUUUGUCUUGAGUGACCCAGAGUGAAAUGAGCUUAUGGUUUUCUUCUUCUUUGUGAUGAGUCGUGUGCUUCAGUAACCAGUAGGGGUUGAGCCAAAACUUAGUGGUACAACAGAGGCUAGGUUGGGAAAGGUUUCUGCCUGCCAGAAUAGAUUAUUGGCAUUGCUGAAUCAAGGACCUGACUAAGUAUAAGGCAGCUUCAUAGGUUCUUAAAAGACUAUGUGAAUUUUGAGAAAGCCAUUAGUUAAAAUACAAAGAAUCAAUAAACAACCUUCCCAAUACUAGACUUGCAUAUACACUGGCUCUAUUCACACAUUACACUGAACAGUGGUUUCAUGGUAUGUCCAUGAGCUGGAACAAGUCCGAACAAGUUCAAUCCCACAUGAUUGAAAAGAGGACUUUGGAACCACGUACUUUGUGGUUCAACUUUCAUUGUGUCUAAUCCUGGGAUCAUGGUUUAGCAUUAAGUUUGGUUUAUCAAAAGAAAGUCAGGUUCAAACUUUGAAGUGUGAAGCUGGCUUGUUUAAAUUAAACAUAGUAUAUAAACCACAGUCCACAGUUUGAAUGAAAUUGCAAGCUGUAUUGAAGGGAGACUGAAAAUAAAUUUGUCUGAAGUUAGUUGUCAUCCAGAGUGGCUGGGGCAACCUUGUCAGGUGGGCGGAGUAUAAGUAAUAUAUCACCACCACCACCACACCCUCUCCACUACAGUGGUACCUCAGGUUAAGAACUUAAUUCGUUCCGGAGGUCCAUUCUUAACCUGAAACUGUUCUUAACCUGAAGUACUACUUUAGCUAAUGGGGCCUCCCGCUGCCGCCAUGCUGCCGGAGCACAAUUUCUGUUCUCAUCCUGAAGCAAAGUUCUUAACCAGAGGUACUAUUUCUGGGUUAGCAGAGUCUGUAACCUGAAGCGUCUGUAACCCGAAGCGUCUGUAACCUGAGAUACCACUGUAUGUGGGAAGAGAAGGCACAAGGAGGAACAGGUGAGCCUAGGGCUUGCUUGACCUUAUUCCCAUUUGUACAUGUUCUACUAAACUGUGGUUCAGCUUGACAUGUUGACAUGGUUAUUGAGUAUAUACAUAAGUGUAUGGUUCAAAUUUCAUCCCAGCCAUGAACUCACUGAGUAGCCUUUGGCAAGCUCCUUUCUUUCAGCCUCCAUCUGCAAUAGGGAGAUGAAGACGAUACCAGUCUACAUAUUUGUUGAAGGGACUUCUCAGUUAAAGAAAUGUGGAGCACAUGUCAUAUAAAUUAGUGCUGUGCCUAAACCUGUUCUCCAGUUUCUCAAAAGUUUUCUUCCCCAGCCAAGGAGGAUUCUGGUUCCCUGUCUUAUUUUCAUGGUACAUUAGACUUAAAAAACAAACAAAAAAAACUUGGUGUGGAAUGUAGCUUACCUUAUGCUUGUGAGAUGGCUGGCAGUGGUGUAUAACCUUCACCCUGACUAAACAUUUAUCUGGCAUUUUUCAGCCUCCCUGGCUGUCCCUUUUUCCUGAUCUGAAAAAAAGUUCUACAGUUUAAUGUGAGGUGUGAAAACAUGAGUUGCCUUAUGAAAUAUUCCUGGUUUUUUAAGUGAAAUACUCCAAGAUGAGACAUACUACACUUUCCAAAAUAUAUCCUUGGCUUUUGGAUGAGAGAGAAAUGUAUGGAAAUGGUUGUUGUGUCAUGUUAGUGGAAUGUUUGUGAAGCAAACUGAGUCAUAUAGCCUUUUAUUUUUCUUUGGAAUUUGACUCCCACAAUAUGUUGCAAGGGAAAUUAAAAGGUGUUGGAAAUCAUCUACAAAACUCCCGUAAUACGAGUGUGUAAUGCCAGUGGUCAAGUUGGAAACUGAACCAAAUAAAGUCAUGUAUGUUCUGGCACACUUGCUUGAGAGUCAGCCUCAUUACACUUGAUGGGAUUUACUUCUGUAUAAACAUACAUUGUGCUUCAUGGCUCCAACCCUACGUAUGCUUCCUUGGGCUCAUGCCCACUGCGCAAAUUGGCUCAUCCUUCAGAGUAAACAUUCAUGGACUUGAGCUGCCCAAUUUGCCCGCCUUCCUCCUAGAGCGCAGGUUGACAAAUUAUGCUGUGCCUGAUGAUCGUUAGGUGGCAGAUGGCAGGUGAUCAAGAUUUCAUUAUCAAACACCGAUUUUCUUCUAAAGGUGAAAAGAUGACCAGCUGUUCUCUACUGCAGUGCCUAAGGGAGCUAAUAGCUCAGGUUUAGCCAGUUACAAAAUAUAAUAACAAACGUCCCUUAAUUAAUUUACAUACAGCAUUCAGCUUGGAUUAUUGCCAUUCUGAUAUCAUUUCAAACGAACUGAGGUGAAACUAAUUAUGGCCCGCGUAAUGCAAAUAAUGACAUUUCCUAUGUACUAUGAGCAAUUGACUGAGGAACAUUCUUAUUUGUUCAUUCUUCCUCUUGAAGGAAGCGUUGCCCAUUAUAUUAAAAGGUGACAGAUAUAAAGACCAGAUUGCAUCAGCCUGUCUUCUAAAAUGCCAUUGUGAUAAUUUACUUAGGAGAUUUACAGCUGCUGCUUCUCAAUUGCUCUUACCGGAGAGUUUGCUACGUCUUAAGAUUCUCAGAGUCAGUACUAUGGGAUGCUGGCCACAGCAGUAUUUGCCAAGCUACCAGGGCCGAGCUAGAUGCGAUUUGAAAUGCUACAGACAUCAUCAAGAAACUAAAGCUUUCCUAUGUAUACUUCAUGUAGAUUAUAUACUUGCUAUCCAGUUGUGGCAGCUAGCUUGUGUGACCGUCAUUUCACUAACAGGGACCAUUCUUAGCACAGCACAACAGAUAAAUUUGCUUGCGCAAAAUAUUGUACAACUCUUAGUGGAGCUGCUAUUGGUGACAGUUAAGCUUUGUGCAUUACCUCCUCUGCUACAGCUUGCACCCCCUGCCAAUGAGUGAGCUAAAAUCUCAAGAUGCUUCAAGUUUUCCUUCCUGUAUUGUCGUGUGUAUUAGUGAAAGACCUUGAUGCCUUAGCAUGACUUCUUACAGUUUAUAUAAUUGGGUGCCUUUAGAUAGUAUUUUUUAGUCAUUAGUGAAUUAACUAUGAUCAGAGAGCUCUUCAGACUGUUUCUACAUUUUAUUCUAAUCAAGAAGAUAUAGACGUAUAAUUAGUCUUUAAUUAUUGAGAAUUUAUGUGAUAUAUUGUCCCCUCUACAACCCCUGAUGAAGGCUUAAAGUAACUGCAGACUGAAACAUGUUUUUCUUUUGUUUUACUAAUAUAUUUCAUUUUCUUUUGUUUUACUAAUAUAUUUCAUUUGCAGUAUCUUGAGAUUUCCUCUCUCGGUUAUUUUGCACACAUAACAUUUCCCCCUCUAUUUUUGGAAUCAUUAGCACAGCAAAAUCAACUCUCAAACUUCUUGUGCUAGCAUUAUGUUGGAUCUCAUCCUAUGAGCUUAACAGGAGAAUUCAUGGGGGUCUUUCCCACUAUUGGAGAGGAGAAAUCAGUAUAAGCUAUGCAGGACAAUGGCAGGCAAUCAGGCAGGGCAGGAUGAUAAGCCGAUGAUAAGGCUGAGGCUUGUUGGAAGUGGUACCAUGCCCUUUAGUUUCGUAUCAAGCCAUGAGUGUGGCUGAUGUUCAUGCAGUGCAGCCCUAAUCAGGUUGACUCAGAAGCCAGUCCCAUUACAGUGGUACCUCGGGUUACAUACGCUUCAGGUUACAUACGCUUCAGGUUACAGACUCUGCUAACCCAGAAAUAUUACAUUGGGUUAAGAACUUUGCUUCAGGAUGAGAACAGAAAUUGUGCAGUGGCAGCGCAGCAGCAGCAGGAGGCCCCAUUAACUAAAGUGGUGCUUCAGGUUAAGAACAGUUUCAGGUUAAGAACGGACCUCUGGAACGAAUUAAGUAUGUAAUCAGAGGUACCGCUGCAUGUGAAAUGGGCCUUACUCCCAAGUAGGUAUGUGCAGAGUUGCGGCCUACGGCUGUGAUCUUAAAGACCACUAAAGUAUAACACAAAAUCAUUCACUCACAAUUAGGUAGUUAUGCUGUCAUCAGUUGAUCUCCUGCAAAAGCAAGAGCUAUUGUCAGGUGUAUAAAUAGCCACUCCCCUGAUCAUUCUGCAUUGAAUAUUAACAGCUAGGAUGGUAACCAGGUCUCAUAAUUGAGAUAAGGCUUCGCAACAAAACUGUGAUCAUUAAUUUUUCUUUUCUGAUUUCUCCGGGUUUUGAAGUUCUGCCAAAGCUUUGUCCCAGAUUAUUGCCUGAGGCACCACUCAGGGAAAUGAUAGCUCACUGAACUACAAAAAAACAGACACCAGAGUAAUUUUUUACAACCUCUUUGCCAGUUCCUUUGCUGCAUGAGAGACAAAAGUAAAACAUGGUAUACUUUCCUAUAACUGUAGACAUGGGAAUUGGAAUUCAAAAAUAUGAAGCAAAAGCUUUAAACUUUCAUUGCAAUUUGCAAGCAGAGAUAAGCAUAAACUAAUAACUUGCUUACUUUUAUGCUUAUUCCAAUGAGGAUAAGAAAGACCUAGAGCUUAAACAAAUGCAUCCCAUAAACUUUCCUCAGGAAUCUCUCUUGUAAAACUUGAAUAUUCAGCACCAGUAUUUUAGACCCACUGAUAUUUAAUAUAAUAUUUUCCCAUUUCACUGUAAUAAGUGUUUAGGAUUUGACAGUCUCUGAUGGGUGGCCUGCAGUGGUAGAUAGUAUUUCACAGUAUUUGAUAGUUUUUACUAAGUUUAUGUUGGGGGAAGUGGGGGACAGUUGCUACAUUUUGUGGGCAAAAUCUGGCCUAAGGAAAAUUGCUAGAAGACACCAUGAUUAAGCUGGGAGUGUUACUGUUUCUGUCUUGGUCAACACUAUAAAUCAAGAGAAUGCAUUGCUCCGGCUAAUAGUGAACUUAAGUAGUGAGUGCAGAUGGGUAUACAACUAAAAGAGGGGACUCAGCUACAUUAGUAAAACAACCACCACCACAGCACUUGGUUAUAAACAUGCAACACCAGAUGGCUCUAGAGAGCAAAAAAAUUCUUUGUGAUUUCCCAUAGCAUUUUCUUUCUUUUGUUAUAAUGACUUAAUUUCUGACUUACUUAUAGCGGUCCCUGCCCCCCCCCCCGUGUGUAGAUCCACCCUAGGUUUCUGAAAAGCAACAGAAGAGAUGCCUGCAUGCUUGGUAAGUGGAAAACAACUGCUUGAAGGGUUGGGCUGGCUUGUUCCCUGGAAGCACUCUUGUCAAAAAGGACUAAAUACACUUGUUUGAUGUUGGUUUGAUGGCCAAAUGAAUGGAAUGAUGGAAAGAUUAUACUGUCAAAGGAGAGGAAGGAAAAGCAGAAUGAAAUAUUUGUGUAUGUGUAGGGCCCAGUGCUUCCUGUUGAUCUGGAUGGUAUUGUGUUUUGUUUCAUACGUUUGCUUGGUUAGGAGAAGUGUGGGAAGCUAUAUGCACAUAUGCUUUCAUUGCAUUUGGGGCACAUGAGGAUGUCUCCAGUCUAGAAUAGAAACUAGAAUACCCCUUCAAGCAAACAAAAUGACUUGCUAAAAUGGCCAUCUUGAAAUACAUAUGAAAGUAGAGGGCAAAUGAAAAUGAUAGAAAGGAAACCACAUGUCAUCUUAAAUUAUGUAUGCAUACCAAAGCAAGUUAAUGAAUUACCAUUAAUUCUAGUUCAUUUAAAUUAGAUUUUUGAUGCUGUUAUGUACUGAGUUGAAUAGGAUCCAAAAUGCAGCAGUCUGAUUGGUCCUAGAACAAUAGGAUUCAGAAUGCAGCAGUCUGAUUGGUCCUAGAACAAUGCAGCAGUAUGAUUGGUCCGCAGGAGCCACCCAAUCCAGCUCCAGGUGGAAGUGAAUCCGCAACCUGAUUGGCCUACAGGUGAAUCCCAGAAUUAGCCAAUCACGUGUGGCCCAUUGUGUAAAUAAUGUAUAUAAAGCAGAUAUUUUGGGGGAACAUUCAUUUCUCCUCACCACUAUGAGCUGAAUAAAGAGCAUGAAUUCCACUCUCAACUCUGAGUAUAUUUCAGAUGCCAUGUGUCUAUUAAAAAUACACACAGUAGCAGCAGCAGCCAUUAACAACAGCAACAACAAAUAAAGCACCAGAGAGCCACUCCUUUCCUUGGAGGUUUUUAAGCAGAGGUUGGAUGGCCAUCUGUCAUGGAUGCUUUAGCUGAGAUUUCUGCAUUGCAGGGGGCUGGACUAGAUGACCCUUGGGGUCCCUUUCAUAUCUACAAUUCUAUGAGUCUAUGGUUCUAGGAAAAACAUCAGCCAGGAACACUAUCAUUAGCAGCUGGGAAAGAUUGGCAGAACAGUUUUCAGGGUGUAUAAACAACAUGAUCUUGUUUCAGAUCUGCACCUACAAGACCACUUAUUAGAACACACACACACACACACACACACACACACACAACCCCCAGUAACUUAAUAUAUUGAAAUCUUUCUUUCUUUUUUUAUUUAGGACAGGUGUGGGGAGCUCCAGAACUACAACUCCCAUCAAUCCUGGCUGUUGGCCAUGCUUGCUGGGGCUGUUGAGUUGCAGUACAGCAACAUCUGGAAGAGCAAAGGUUUCUGUACCAAGUUCAGGGCAUAGGAGAACCUAUUUCUACAAAUGGGCUAGCCUCCACUCAAAGGGCUUUGCUUGAUUUACUAGAUCUGGUACCAUUGCCGAACACUCGGCUUGGUGUGACUUUGGGCAGUGUUGGUGCACCUGUUUGAGAGAGGAGGGGGAGGGGAGGCAGGAUUCCAUCUCCCUCGCUCUCCUCCACCUCCAACAGGUGAUUGGCGCUGUCAUCUUUGACGGUGCCAACCAUCUGCUCUGCACAGAACACAGCGCUGCAUGCAAGGUUAUCUGGACAGGAGCCAAUGAAGAUGAUGGAUAUGAUCCAUGUUGCCAAGUUCUGGCUGCUUUCUCGAAUAUGGGGUCAGAAGGGGGAAAGCCUGAGGGAGAAGCAGUCUAUUUAAAGCUUGCAUAUUCAUCUCUGCUAAUUACUUAUACAUUUGGGGGAUAGGAAUUAUUUUUAGAUUAAAGAAAAAGUGUUGUCCUUCUAGAUCUAGCUACAUAUCUAUAAAGAAAGAUGAUGAUGAUAAUGUGUGGUGAAACAGAUAUUAUUUGGCAUUUUAUCCUCCCUUCUUCACCUGCAACCUCAAUGCCUGUUACUAUAACUUCCUUAUUUCAAACUACAUGGCCUCCAUGCUGUGAAAGAAAAAUUGCUAUGUGUAGGGGUGCCUUUUUGCUGUAAUUGUCUACUGAGACCUUGAAAGCUUCAGAAUAGAAGACAUUGCAGUGGUAAUGGAUGGGGGGGGGGGAGGAAUUGGUUGCAGGCCUAAAAUGCUUACUCUGAGGAAAUGAUGUAGAAGACUCCUCUUUACUUAUGAGUAGGAAAGAAAGGUAUAUUACAUUUUACAAAAAAGCGAGUCAUACUGAUUAAAUAUUUUGCAUAUAUUAGGGUUGCCAUAUUUCAAAAAGUAAAAACCUGGACACCCCAAAUAAAUUAUUAUUAUUACUGUAAUUUCAUUACAGCCUGGCAUACAACUGCCAGCAUCUUGACAUGCUGUUGGUGCUCUGCCUCCAUCUGUGGGAACGUUAGAAGUUGCUUUCUACUGAGCCAAACCAUUGGUCCAUCAAGCUCAGGGUUUCCCAAGCUUGGGUCUCCAGCUAUUUUUGGACUACAACUCCCAUCAUCCCUAGCUAGCAGGACCAGUGGUCAGGGAUGAUGGGAACUGUAGUCCAGCUGGACACCCAAGUUUGGGAAACACUGGUCUAGCUCAACAUUGUCUAUGCUGAGCAUCAGUGGCUCUCCAUGAUUCCAGACAGGAGACAUUCUAAGUCUGACUUGGAGAUACUUGGAACCAGUCCUUUUUUCUGGAGGGACGCAUACCCCUAAACAUUUUGUGAAUCUAAGUUUGGCCUCAUUGAGGGGCAGUAUUUCAGUAUAAGUAGGAAAAUGAGAGUACCCCUAAACAUAUUUUUUUUAGAAAAAAAGCACUGAUUGGAACCAAACCUUUCUUUUCUGCAUGGAAAGCACAGAGCCCUUUACCACAGAGCUAUGGACCUUCCACAUUCAAUCUGGCUGUUCUUGGGUCUGUUAAAACACCAGCUGCAUAUUAUGCGUCCAUGUUCUUUGUGUGAGAUGGCAGUGGGAGUGGGGCACGAUAAGCAUCUCAUUUCUGCAGAGGUUAAUAUGAGAAGCAGCUCUGAUUAAAGCGUAAUGUGACCCUCCGAAGUUCACGCUACUGGUCUCUCACUGGUCCUGUAGGGAGUGCCAGCGAAGGAUUAGAGAAUUAGCUACAUUCCUAGUGUCUAGUUUCUUUAGCUGAGAAUCUAAUAAUGCAAAAUGAACUGGCUGCGGUAGACAUCACAGGCUGAUGUGCUCCCAAAGGUACUGUGCUCAGCAAAGGCUAUCAGGAUUUUAAACAGCUGCACAGGCGAGAUACUGCUUUACAGAACCUGUAAACACAUUACUGCAGCUGUCCCUCACGGUAUUCUUUGCUCUCACCCUCCAUUCCAAGCUCAGCUGUUCUGCGCAUUUAGAUAAAGCCAUGCUGCAGGCGACUGUGGCAGGUAGCAGGACCCUGAAAUUAAGGUGAUGCCUAACACACACUGUUAUUUGCAUAUCCCACACUGUGCUGCUAAGUCAUCCCCAUGGUGAAAUUCUCGUUGGCCCCGUUCUCCUCCUUUGUUAUAGAAAAGUAACUAUUAAAAUGAGUUCCAUUUCUCUCUGCACCCAAUCGUUCCGAGUUUGUACCAUGGGCUUAUUAGAGGCAAUAUUCACAGAUGGAUUGCUGGCUUUACUUAGAGACCUGCAAGCACUUGUCCUGAAUCUUCAAUGAGAACAAGCAUUUUCUCUUUCUUUCCGUGUGUACUUUUGUUUGUUUUGUUUUGUUUUGACCAUUUUUUCCCUCCAAUCUUUUUCAAACACUUGAGUUAAAUAGUUGUUGCCAGGGCUCCAGGCAGCGUGAAUCAAAUUCACUGCACUUUUCAAUUACCCAGGUUUCUCUUGCGACGCACAUUCCGGGAUAAGAAUGCAAAAUGGUGCAGAACCUUGUCUGAAGAAAUAUUUCUUUCAUUUGUCAAGACAUCAUUAAUGAAUGGAAUCCACUACCAUGAAAUGUUGUGAUGUCCACUAGCUCGAGUGCUGCUGCUGCUGCUGCUGCUGCUGCUGCUGCUGCUUCUUCUUCUUCUUCUUCUUCUUCUUCUUCUUCUUCUUCUUCUUCUUCUUCAAAAUGGUGUUAGCUCAGGGAUGGGGAAGCUGUGGCCCCUCCAGAUGUUAUUGGACCCCAACUCCCAUCAGCCCCAGCCAGUAUGGCCAAUGGUCAGGGAGGAUCUGUAGUCUAGCCCCAUCUAGGGGGCCACAGCUUUCCCAUCCAUUGGCUAGAUAAAACCAUGGAGGACAGGUCUAUGGAUGCCCACAAGUCAUUGAAACUAGGUGGAACCUUCAUGUUCCAAAUGAGGAAGGGAACAAAACAACGUUACUCCGUCCUGCCCAACAGGUCUGUAUUCAUUUGUGCUGCUGGCUCAGGAACCUCUAGAAAACAGAAAGUUCUGGGUCCAUUCUGUAAAUCUUAACACCCCAUGUCCUGCUUUAAAUGAUGGUUCUAGUCUGGAUUCCUGAAAAGCUGAAUAGGAUAGGGUUGCCAUAUUUCAAAAAGUGAAAAUCCGGACAAACUUCUGACAUGGGUUGCCAUACAUCUGGGUUUCCCCAGACAUUUAAGCGAUUUCUACCUGGUCACUGUUUUCGACAGCCAAAUCCAGGCAAUGUCCUGGAAAUUCCGGAUGUAUGGCAACCCUAGAAUAGGAUUGCUUAUUCUUAAGGAUGAGAAUUAGGCUGCCUACACGCUAUACCUGUAAAGCACAUUCCCUCCCACAGGGAAUUCUGGGUAGUGUAGUUUGUCAAGGAAAUUUUAACUCUGUGAGGGAUAAAGCUGCAGUGCUCAGAAUGUUUAGGGAAGCUUUUAAUGUUUAACAGGUUAUUAUAUUUUAGUGUUUUGUUGGAAGCCGCCCAGAGUGGCUGGAGAAACCCAGCCAGAUGGGUGGGGUAUAAAUAAAUUAUUAUUAUUAUUAUUAUUAUUAUUCUCUGAGGGAAGGAAUGUGCUUUGAAUUCACUUUAAAAGUAUAUAGUGUGUAUGUAGCCCAGUCCUCAUCUUUAAGAAUAAGCACCCCUAUUCAGUUUUUUAAAAUCAACUUAAGUGGUGGUGGAGGAGUGCUGGUGCAGCCCCGCAUUUCUAGCCUCACUGGCUUUACUUCCAACCGAAGCUCUGAAGAGGAGUUUGAAGUGAAUGCAUCGGAGUGCUUAGAGAAACAUCUGUCUGCUUGGAAACCCUGAUAAUAUGGAUUUACCAAUUGUCGGGGAGGCUUCCAAGUGUGUUCAACUGAAGCCCCCUUCAGACCGCAUGGAUUGUGUUGUUGCACCCCACCCCACUCUCUGAGCUGUGUGAGUUUUCAGAGGUUCCAGGCUCUUCCCCAGGGUUUGGUUUCCUUUGAAUGAUGAACAGUGGAGACUGGUGUUUUUCUGAUAUAUGAUUUAUUUACACAGGUAGACAACCUGAACCUACAAUGGAGGGGCUCACAGCAUUAACACUCCAAGAGGAUAUUGCGUUUCCCCUUGGAUUCAAGCAGAGAUCAGGCAUGCCUCUGUCUCUCUGGCUUCCCAGCCUGCUUCUAGCUUCUAGCUCACACCUCAGCUCUGUUCUUUGUCUUUCUAACUGCCAGGUAGUUGAGGGAGCAGGAGAAAACAAGCUUGUUCCCGCUUCCAUUUGACAGUUCUUGGCUAUCAUGCCUCCUCUCAGUCUCCUCUUUCCCAGGCUAAACAUCCCCAACUCCCUCAUAAGGCUUGGUUUCCAGACCCUUGAUCAUCUUGGUUGCCCUCCUCUGCACACGUUCCAGCUUGUCAACACCCUUCCUAAAUUGUGGUGCCCAGAAUUGGACACAGUAUUCCAGGUGUGGUCUUACCGAAGCAGAAUAGAGUGAUACUAUUCCUUACCUUGAUCUGGACACUAUACUUCUGUUGAUGCAGCCUAGAAUAGCAUUUGCUUUUUUUUUGCUUUCUUUCUGAUGACUCAUGUUAAGCUUGUGGUCCAUCAAGACCCCUAUAUCCUUUUCACAUGUACUGCUAUUAAACAAUCAACAUUAUAGAUUUUGAAGUAGGCAGAGAGAAUUUUCACUGCUAAGCAGUGAGGGGGGAAAACAACUCUGAACAUUUUUCUUUAUUUCCAAAAAUCUUCCCUGUGCAGAUGUGGAGCACAGCUGUUUUCAAAGCUAUUGUUUCUCCCCAUUGUUCCUGUUUGUUAAUUCCAAUCCCAAAAUAUCAAGCCCAAGAAGGGCUCCAUUUCCAUUUGCCACCAAGGAAGAGUUUAUAGAGUGUUAACUAUAAUAAAUAAGAGAUUAACAAUGCCCUCUUGUUCUCAUGUAAAAAAUUCUAUUUUGCUGAAAUAUUUAUAGUUAAUCUUUUUUUCCUGAGCUGCAAUGAACAUUUAAUGAGCUCUGAGCAACACUGCUAACCAUAUUGAUUAAUAGAUCAAGUGAAAAUGUUUCAAUUUUGCCAUGAUAUAAUCAACGUGAUUAUAGCAGCAUGUUUGUCAUCUCCCUUUGUAUACGAUUAAUAAUUAGAUUCUGCAAGAGAUGAGAUGCAGUUGACAAUUUGGAAGCAAAAUGAUUAGUGGUUACAAAUCAAUUCUUACUGUUAAAUUAUAGAAACCACUUAAUAAAAGGCAUCCAAAGCAAGAUUGCCAACUGUAAUCGAGUUUUUCUGGUACUUGCUAUACUUUGUGUUAAACUUUAUAACUAUGAUACAUUUAUUGUUUCAGUGUAAGAUGUUCCUUAGGCACUUACAAGAGGGAAUAGCAACUAAAUAUUGCAGUGUGUUACCAUCACACCUAACAGGACUACUCCUGCUGGGCAGACGGACAUACUUUCCCCUGGCAUAUAAACUGGAACAAGCCAAAGCUGAACUGGACCUUGUCAGAGGGUCCUACCUGAGAGUUAGCCAUCCCCCAGAAGGUGGGAAUCCAGAAAUAUUCUGAAGCCUCAAAAUCAGUGCCGGGUUAACAGAUAGGCAGAGUGGGCACUGGCCUAUGGGCCCCAUGCCUUUUAGGGGUCCCGUGACAAUGGAUCAAAAUAAUACUGAUUUGAUCUUGAAAGAAAAUUACAAAAAAUAAAUAAAUUAGGAGAUAAUUUGCAAGCCUCCCUCCCCCAAGAUUUUGACUGCCAAGGGGCCUCCACAGGGUUUAAUCUGACACUGCUCAAAGUUUCCAGGUUUCCGAAUGAUAUACUGUAGUCUCAAUCAAGAGAGUCAUAGUUAUCAGUUCCAUUUCCUUACGCAACAGUGACUUGGACCAAAAAGAACCAAACAUGAAUUCUUGCUCAGAUAUGGAACUUUCUGGGGUUACUUAUCUCACCAUCUCACAGCCUAACUUUUCUAACAGGGUUAGACUGGGCAAGCUGGGGUUCAAAUCCCUACCUAGCCAGAAGGCUCACUAGUGGUCUCAGGUCAGUUCCUAUCUCUCAUCAUAACCUUCCUUACAGAACUGUUGAGGGUAUAAUAUGCGGAGGGUGAGACUGAUUUUGUUGACUCUAGUUCCAUGGAGGAAGGCUGGGAAAGAAAUGCAGUAGUGUCUAUUUUGUGUGUGUGUGUGUGAGAGAGCCAGUGUGGUGUAGUGGUUAAGAGCGGUAGUCUCGUAAUCUGGGGAACCGGGUUCGUGUCUCCGCUCCUCCACAUGCAGCUGCUGGGUGACCUUGGGCCAGUCACACUUCUCUGAAGUCUCUCAGCCCCACUCACCCCACAGAGUGUGUGUUGUGGGGGAGGAAGGGAAAGGAGAAUGUUAGCCGCUUUGAGACUCCUGAAAGGGAGUGAAAGGCAGGAUAUCAAAUCCAAACUCUUCCUCUUCUUCUUCUUCUACACACACACACACACACACACACACACACACACACAGUAUACAAAAUGAGCCAGAUAAUAGUGUGCCAUUAUCAGAUUAUAGCAUGCCACUUUUAAAAUGAAGGAACAAUGUUUCCCAUGUCAAAGGAUGCCUCGUAGGCAAGGAAUAUGUUUAUCAAAACAAAUCCAAAUUACUGAUGGGAAAACUCUUCUCAGCUUGAUUUGAAAAUGGGUAAUCAAUUGCAAGUAUUACUUUUUGUUGAGAACUCUCAGAACAAUCUUGCUUUCUGCUCUCUGUCCUCACCCACUGAGGGUUCCAAAUUGACUCAUAAUGUUGGUUGCACUAAAUUGUGUUGACUUAACAUGUCACUUAUUUGGUUGUCUUUUUCUCCCAGGUCCUGGGUGUUAACCUCAGCUCAAAUAGACCUGCUGAGGGAUUUGUAUUUCUAUGCUAGAAAGCACGAAACUCAGAAAAGGGCCUUAAAGCACAGUUUUCCUGUUGUACUUUUGGAACCAAGCGUGCCGACUUGCUCCCCACCCCGUGACGUGAGCACACCACGUACUGGGUGUGAGUAAGUACAUUGCACAGCGUAUGCACAUGGCUGCCGUAGAAUUUUGAGGGGGCCAGGCCCCCUCCUUGAAAAUUUUGUUGAGACCCUUGGCCCCCAGCCCCCCUAAUUUGGCACCUCUGUUUGGAAUUGAAGCCAUAGUUUGGGGUUGCUAAACUGUGGUUAGGACAAACCAUGGUUUGGUGUCACAGCCACAUGCCUGCCUUAUAUGACAGGAAAAACGGUUUAUCCUGAUUUUGAACAUUAUGAUGAUUGGAUAAAGUACUACAGCGCAAAUGUAAGAGUUAGGCAAGUACCACUGGCUGGGUGAAUACAGACAACAAUUUAAAGGCACAUUCUGCUACAUCCUUUAUUGAAACCAACUUUUCAAGUACGGCAAAAUACACCAUGUGGCAUAGUGAUACUGAUGGCUAAUCUAUGGUAAAGUGAGAGAGCUGUUCUGAGGUAGUUUGGUUCUCUGGUCAAGUCAAGUGGGAAGAACUUUACCAAUCUAGAUGCAGAUAAAUGUUUGAAUAAAUACAAACAUGUGAUUAAUCCCUCUUCAACUCCGCAGAAAACCUUACAGAUGAGCAUCACACUGCGGUAAACUAUUACUUGAUAAGAUUUGUAACAGGUGUAAGCACUGCAACCAGCUGGCCAGAUGCUAUUUUGCCUACUGGUGAUUCUGUUCACAUCUUCACUUUGAGUCUGGCCGCCAUUUUGCCAGUUUAGAAAACAAGGAAGGCUGAGUUUAGUUGCUGGUUCAGAGGGUCCUGAUCUUAGUGCCGAUUGUGGUUUUUGCCAAGGCAUUAAAACUGCAAUCUCUAUGCACGCUUAUCUGGGAGCAAGCCCCAUUGCACUCAGUGGGAUUUACCGGUACAUCUGAGUAGACAUCACUACAUUUGCACUGUAAGGUUGCAAUCCUAUGCAUGCUUCUUAGGGAGCAGCAUUGAAAUCAAUGGGAUUUAUUACUGAAUGCAUACAUAGCACUGCCUUGGAGGUCUUUUUGUGACUUUCCUGGAAUUCAAUCCGAUGAAGGAUUGACAUCUCUAGAAAAGUUCUGUUUCCUGCUUGUUGUUAUUUUGAAGGGCUUCAAUCCAAAUAAUGAUUGCAUUGUAGGAAAUUGUAAUUAGUGCAUAGAUAAUAUUCCCCAAGCAGAAAAAACAGAUUAAAUAUAAUGAGUUGGUAGAAAUUGCUCAUUCAGCUGCAGAGACAACUUAGGGAAAUUUUGCAAACCAGAAAAUUUGUCUAUCUGUCUGUGUAGAAACUGAGUUGCAUUAAGAGGUUUAAAAAAACUUCACCGUGGUACAUAUUCCACACUCUGGACUCUACCAUCAGCCAGGGACCAGGGGCCACUGGAAGAAUGGUUUUUCCUGUCUCCCUGGAAGAGCAUCAUGGCAAAGGGCAGAUCAAUCUGAUCCCAUCCAUUGGCCAAAGAGGAGCAGAUGAAGUGACUUUGCUUCCAGAAAGAACACACUGCCAGAAGUGGCUCAUUAAAUGGGGCAGAGCUGCUAAUCCAGCUUCCAGGUAGGUGGGUCGCUGUUCAGUUCUGGGAAGGAUGAAGUGGUGGGAACAGUGAUGUAGCAUACAGGGGCCAGGGGGGCUGUGGCCCCGAGCACAAAUUUCUGAGGGGCCCAACCAGACACCCCCACAACAAGUUCCCUCAUCAAAGCCGGAGCUGUGGGGAGGCAAGUCCCGCCUGGGCUGGGCCUUCGGGGCUGGAGCAGUGGCAACACCCACUUCUCCUGGUGGUUGAUGAAGGGACACCCUCAUGCCUGGGGCGGUUGAGAGGGAAGGAGGGUAAGAGGCACUACCGCCACCCACUGAGGGAGAAAGAGGAAAGCAAGAAAGCAUUGCUAGAGUCAUGUGCGUUGCCCAGAGUGCCUUGCUGCCAGGACAGGAGGACGAGGAGACACAGAGGCACUCCUGGUUUUGCGUUCGUCUGCCUUAUAUCUGCUCCCAGGUUGGGGCUAACUUGCAAGGAGAGACUCCCAUUUAUGCUGGCCAACGAAGGGACUGUCUGCUGCCCAGUCCAUGGGGGGGGCACGCGCAAAACCUGCCCCUUUCUGGGUGCCAGCAACCCACGCUAUGCCCCCGGACGAGGAGGUCACUGCUCUGCAAACCCACAUGCAGAAUCAAUAUGGCACCCUUGCUGUUACUUUUGCACUAUGCCAACCUCCUCACCACCUGACCGCCUUCUCAGUCCCAGCAAGCAACAGUGAUCCACCUUCCAGGAAGCUACUGUAGUGACUCUACCCCACUUCUGCAAUCUGCUCCAUAAGGCAGUUGCACUGCAGAGGCACUGCAGAAGCAAGGGGGGAAAGGGCCCCCAGACCCCCAUCCAUUUGUAAAAAGGAAGAGAGCCACUAACCAAUUUAAAAGCAAAAACGCUAGCAAGGGAAGGAAGAUCAGCCUGGCCUGACCUGGAUACAAAUGCCUGUUUAUAGCUCAGCCCUUCGUUCUGCUCUUCAAUAACUAAUCUCCUAAAACACUGUUUCCAAUUUGGCAUCUAACCUUGGACAAAAGCCAUCAAACUGGAUAAAAAAGUUUGCUCCCUACAAAAAAAAGGUGGCAAUUGAAUAGGGAGAAUCCAUGGAGCAUAUCUAAACAUAUAUUGACUGUCAUGGCUGUCCCCCUCACCCUAAGAGUCCUGGGAAUUUUAGUUUGAGUGAAAGUGCCAAUAAUUUUAUUAGAGAUACCUAGUUUUUCUUUCUGAACUAGAGUUUCUUGGGUUCCCUAGUAAACUUCUUCAAGCCUGUGGUGCUGAUAUGUCCACAGAUGCCCCAUAUUCCCCAUUUGGAUUGUGCUAUUUUUAUUGAUAGAGAAAUCAGUCGACUGACACAGAUGCUCUUUGUUUGAGAACGACAAUGUGAAGUUUAUUUCGCGUGCACACAAAAAUGCAAUCCCAAGCUCAGGAGCAGAACAAUGCUUACAGCAGAGCAAUAAGCUCAGUGCAUUAAAAGGCUUGUAUGAAUUAUUUAAAUCGGAUCUGAAGGAUUUAUUAUUUUAAUAAUUAUCUGAACAAUUAUGCAGUUAUUAAGGCACUCUGCACUCAUCUGUUCAACAGGCUUUCAAUUUUUAAAAAGGUUACAGUCAGAAAAUGAAGGUGAUUGAUGAGGAUAUAAUGAUUAAGAGAGAGAAGGGGAGUGGGUCUGCGUGUUCAACACUGUGGAAGAAACACACACACACAACCAAAUACCCAGGAGUCAUUAAGUUGCUAGGACUGCAGGGGCCCUGAUGCAGUUGACACAAUUUCAAAAGGUCAUCCCUCCACCUUCUGAAUUGGCAAUUCCUUGGAGUCUACAGUGUGAAGGAUCAUGGUUUGUUUGUUAAGUUCAUCUGUAAUUCUACAGCAUAUUGCAAAAGGAUCCCUUCCCAUACUUAGCAGUGGGUCUGGAGUCGAAACCUAGCACUCUCCACCCCCCUAAUCUCCCUCGCAAGCUGUCUCUUGUAGAUGCUGCGAGAGCAGCUGUCUUUUCCACUGGCACAUAUUGCAAGAACAUACAGGGUGAAGCGUUGCUUGAAUCUUUUCCAGUUUUCUUCCAUGUUUCCAGAAGGAUUCAUGUCUGGUAACUUGCUUUUACUCGCCUCCAUCAUUAACCCUUUUGUUGCCAUUUAAAAUUGUUUUUAGUAUUUCCAGAAACGUGCAGGCGUUGGAGGGUGUCUCACUCAUGCACCUGGCUAGAGCCAAUCUGUACUUAGGAUAGGGAUCAUUUUGGUUUCUCUCGGUUUCUCAAUUUUCCAGUCUUCUCCACAUUUCUCGAUCACCUUUUUUUUUUUUUAAAAAAAGAAUUCCUCACAUCUCCUCCAUUAUAUGUAUUUUUCCAUGCAAUUUUUCUUACUAUGUUGCAUUUUUUUUGGGGGGGGGUUACAUUAUUUUCAGUAACAUAUUCAGUUUUAUGCAAACUGUACAUGAAGUGCUUUGUAUGCAGAUGGUUCCAGUUUCAAUCCCUGGCAUCCCUAGGUAGGGCUGUCUGAAACCCCCUGUCUGAAACCUUGGAGAGCUUCUGCCAGUCAGUGUAGACAAUAUUGAGCUAGUAUGAGGCUGACUCAGUAUGAGGCUGCUUCAUGUGUUCCUAUAUUGCAAUUAGAUCAUUGUACAUUUUUAUGUGCAUGCAAGCGUGAGCGAGAUUUGCAGGUGAGUCUGCAAAGCAGAAGAGGCAAACAGUUUUCAGAGGUAGAGGACUAAGGUGAUGGAACACUGAAAAUCCAUCAUCUUUAUCACUUGCAGUGUGGCACUUUAACCUCACUAUGUGGAAGUACUGGCAUUUGUUGAAAAAAAUGAGAUGAAGAGGUGGGAAGGAAUCUACCUGAGAGUCUUUCAAGACAUUGCUUGUGUUUUGGAGUCUAUCGAUUUUGAUGGGUAUUUUGUCACUGACUUUAAUGAAGUUAAGACUCUGUCUGAGACAUCUAUUGAAAUGCAUUGCCCAAUUCUCCCGAUCAGUCUUCUGGUUCUCUUAAAUCCAUCACUGUUCCUUCAUAGCCAGAAGUGUUUCGCUGCCUCAUAAAAUGGCAAUGGCUUUUUGUUUGUUUGUACCUAUCACACUAUUGUCCAAGUUUUUGUAACCCUAAGGCAAAGCUCCUGUAAUGUAAACUACAUCUUUGAAAAAAUAUAUGGAACCUUUGGUUGGUGUUCAAUAUUGUCCUCAGUCCACUGAUGGGAGAGGGAGCAUAUAAGCAGCAGCUUCCUCCCUAAGAUAUGCUUCUCUGUGUCCUAUCCAGUGCUCUGCCAAAACUUGUCCUCAACAGCUUUCUCUCGCUAUGAAAGAGGCUACCAUUUUCCUCCCAUGUCAUCAGGGUGGUUGAGCACUUUGGCAGCUAUGGCUCUUUUUUAUUUAUUAAAAAACCUGCAUCCUGCUGUCUCCUAAAAAAAAACCACCACACACAAAAACAAAGCAGUUUACAAGAACCACAGAACAAACCAUAUUAUAAAAACUGCAUGCAAAAAAUAAAAUCUGAGAUCAUCAACUACCUCUUACAGAAAUACAUUUUCGCAAUUGUCUGCGUAAGUCUGGUAGCAUAUAUUUGAUUUUCAGUCCAAUGCUGAAUAUCUGUUGAAAGAGCAUUCACAGGAUUGGGCCAAUGACAAUAAAAGUUCGGUUUCAUGUUCUGGAGGAGGUAUAUACACAAGUAAUCAGCAUUCAGCGGGAGAAGGUCAGGUGGGCCAAAGGUCAGAAUGAGCUUAUGGACCUCCAGCAAAUGGACUUCCAGUGACUUCUUCCAUUCUCUCAAUAGCUGCAUGCGAACAUGCAAUGCUACAGAGAUGUAGUGAUGUGAGAGAGACUCACCUGUUGAAUUUAAGCCUGUUGGGGCAUAGGGGUCCUGCCAGGGUGGAAAGAGGGUGAAAAGUAUUGAGAGUAAAAAGGGGACAGACAUAAGGGACUUGCGGUAAGAUUGUUUCUCAAGUCUCUUUUUCUGCUGCUUAUUUAAUCUUUGGUCACAUGCUUGAUUUGAUAGGACUAUUUUCCCUCAGACGCUAUAGUAGCAAUAUCUCAAAGAUUCCUUGGAUAUCUACAGCCCCUUGUUGAAAUGCCAUUAUCUGGAUUUUGUACCUUGUCUUUCCUAUAAAAACAUUCCUCCUACCCCGCUAUUCUAAUAUUCGCAGUUGCUGUUUCCCAUUAUUUCCAUCAUUCGCUUUUCAUUCUCAUUGUCUCUGCUUUAUUAAGUUGUCAUAUUAUUAUUUGAUCAAGUGUGCUCCCUUCUUUUGCACUCCAAUUAUUGUAACACUUAAAUUCCCCUUGCAACUCAAAGGAUAUUAGUCAUGAAACAAAUUGAUGGCCCAGCUCUCUAUUCUGGGCUUACUAUUGUGUGAGACAACUUUCAUUUCUGUGUGCAUCUGGCAUAACCCACACCUAUGAAAUUCUUAUUCCCCCCUCAUUUCAAAUGUGGCCAACAACAUUGUUUUGAAAGGAUCAAAACAGAUCCCUCAGGUGUUGCUGGACCACAGACCCUCCCAAUUCUGACCACUGACCAUCCUGUCUGGGGCUGUUGGGAGUUGAGGUCCAAUAACAUCUAGAAGCCCAUAGGUUAUCCAUCCAACAUCUAGAAGCUCCCAUAGCAGAAUCUGGAUUGACGGUGUGGAGGUGGCUUAAAUAAAGUGGAGAUUUUCCUUUGAUAAGUUGGUCCAAACAGUAGUGGCAACAAUUUGAAUAGAGCAGCAAAGAAUCAUGUGUGUGGUUGGUAUAAUUUCUGCAAAAAUAAUUUUCGAUAAAAUGUUAACCUUUAAUGACUUUGCCAUCUUGGUUUUCACCUGAUUUUAAGCUCUUUUAAUAGUCAAACCUACCACAUUGAUUAUGUACCAAGACACUAAUUUUACUGACUGAACCUUUUACAGGUCCCUUUUAUCCUAGGCUAUUUCCCCCCUCAUCUUUGUUAAGAGCAUGUUCACAUAUUAGGGUGCAAGGCACUUUAACUCCUAUGUACAGCAUCGGCUUGUGAGAGCAGGGCAGAGGCAGCUGUGUCUUCCUGGUGGAGCCACUGCAUUCAUGGGGAUGGGACAGGGUGAGGCAGCAGCAAGGUUGCACAAGAUCUCCUGGUUUCAUUGUCUCAUCCCAUCCCUCACCCAAAGAGCAUAACUCCAGUAAAUUGGCACUGAGCUCCCCAUUUCUUUUCCCCUCUCACUCUCCCUCCUGGUAAGAACCUUUGCUUUAGAAUGGUAAGAUUCUGAAGACAAGUAUGUCGGAUAUUCUGCUAGGACUGCUGAUUGACCAAAACAAUAAUGGAUCUAGCUGAGAUUGUUUUGCCAGAAUUCUGUUGCCAGAUUUAUUCAUUUAUUUAUUUGUCAGAACCAGAUGCCUGCUGCUUGUUUUUAGAAAUAUAGAUACGCUGUUAAGUAAAAGUCAGUAUACAUGUUUGAAUAGUGUAAUAAGCACAUUUACCAGGGUUUCCAAAAUUUGGGUCUCCAGCUGUUGUUGGACUACAACUCCCAUAAUCUCAAGCUGCCUGGCCACUGGUCAGGGAUGAUGGGAAUUGUAGUCCAAAAGCAGCAAGAGACCCAAGUUUGGGAAACCCUGACCUAUACAGUAGUAGAGCAUGGAAAAGGAUCCUGUGACCCUGAAGAUGAUGAUAUGGACUACAGCUCCCAUCAGCCCCAAGCAGCAUGGCCAAUCAUCAAGGAUGAUGGGAGUUGUAAUCCAACAACAUCUGGUGGCUUCCACGGGAGCCAUUCCUGCACUAGAGUGCUAGGUGGUUGUGCUCCAUUUCCACGCACCAUUUCACAAUGUAGCAAAUUCACUGCUUACAGCAUCCCUGGUGGGUGAACAUCCUGCCUCUGCUCAAGAACCUCUAAUGAAGGAGAUCUUGCCACCUACCUAGGCAGUCUGUUCCACCGUUUUGUGCAGUUUGUACUGUCAGGAAGUCCUGACAGUACAGGAUUUCCUCAGAAGGUCGUCAAGGAUUCUCAAUGAGAGAAUCAAUCAUAAUGGACAAACUUUUCUGGAAGACAGUUUGCCUGCCACUACAUCUUUUCCACUGUAAUCCAGGGCAAGAAAGGAGGGUCCGGCAAGUUCCAGUGUGGGCUUGCAGUCCAUGUAGGUUGACGGUCUGGUACAACAGGCCAAGCCUGUGUCAUGUAUGGGACAGCUGCUUCCAACCAAGUCAGACCAUCUGGAAAAGCAUUCCAUAGUGACUGGAAGCUUCAGACAAGAAUUUUCCACUCUACCUGGAGAUGUGGUGGGUUGAACCUUCUAUGUGUAAAGUAGGUGCUCUCCCAUCGAGCUACAACCCUUCCCAAACUAUGAACUCUUUCUGUAUGCUUCAGAGCAUAUCCCAGAAUCCUCUGGAAGGAUCCAUAGUAGACAUACAUGUUUCCCAACAGAUGGGUUGAGAAAGUGUUCCUGAAUGUAGAAAGUUUGAAAACUACUGCCUCAAAUCUACCAUGCAGGACAGGUAUUUGUUUCCCUCCCCUUAAAAUUAUGAAAAAAUAUUCUAAUAUAGUGUAUUUAGGGAACUUUAACAAAUGAUAAGUGGGCAGAGGAGUUAAAAAUAAGCAAGCUUUCUACUAUAACAUAAUAAGCAGUAAUGCAAUGAAUUUGUCAUCAUGCAAACUCUGAAACUUAAGGACAUAAUUAUUUCUCCUUGUCUUCCUAAUAAGUGGUAGGCAUGGAUAAAUUCCCUUCUGAGUGUGCACUUAAUCAGGGCAGCCGUAAUUGCUGCUUUACAGCAGAAAAUGCAGGAAACUCGAAUACCAUAUAUUUCUGUGAAAAGACAUUCUGAUUUCCACUAACUAAAUAAAUAGUGGAACGAAGAUAAAGCACUCAUCCAUCUACCCAAAUUCACUGUAGCUCAUGACUCCUUUGAGUGCUUUUGAAUGGUUUUGUUCAGUUUCCCCUUAGAAAAAAUAACUCCUGUAAUAAAAUUACUGGGUAUAAAAAGACAUGAGAAAAACAUUAGGUUUCAGGCAAACAGAAUGCUUAAAGCGUUGCUUGCAAGGAAUAUGAAGUUGGGGAGGGGGGUGACUCCUUGAUCAUGAAGACAGCUGCAUCAACGUAUUGAGCUCCACUUUUCAAAAUAUUGAGCUCCACUGCAGUUUUCCUGCAGUGUACAAAGUGAUAUUACAAAAUAUAGAUAAUACCCAAGGGAUGAACAGAUCGGUCUAUUUCCAGUCUGUGUUUAUUUCACAUGUGUUCUUUCAUAAAUCCAAACUGAACAAUUUCUGCAUUCCCCCCAACCCGCCCCCCAGUAUCAGUAGUUUUCUUUCUCUUAAACUAAUGUUUAUUUAUUUGCCUCUUAACAUGUUGCUCAAUUUUUCUGACCUCCUCUCAGAUCCAACCAGCCUCCACUGUGCCUCAUUCCAAAAGGAAGCAUGAACCCUGGGAGAUUGGGGUGGCACAAUUUAUUAUGCAUCCCCACUGCACUGAGUUUCCUUUGCAAUGAAAUGAAUGGGGUGGAAUAAAGCAAUGACAAUGUACUUUCCAUAAUUACAUCAGUUACAUAAUUUCACCAGAGUGGGCAGGGAGACAAAUAACAUAGGUUUGGGGGAGAAGAUGAACUAGGGGAAGAAAGAUAAGCUCCCUGGUGAGAGGGUCUACUUUUUUGUGUAUGGGAAAAAAUGGAUUGUAUGGGGGGGGGGAGAGGUCUUUUGUAUUCAUUUUGUUCUUUCUGUUUGUUCUUCUGCCUCUCUACUUUCCUUUUUUAUUAUUAUUUAGGGUUUUCUUUUUUCUUUUUCUUUAGAUGACUUUGGCUUUUAUUGUAUGCUGUGUAGAAAACUUUCAAUAAAAUUAUUUACAAACGAGAACUACACCAUAAAAUUCAGAGAAAUGCGUUGCUUUGGAAGGUGCAAAUUAGGCGGGUUUCUCUUUAAGUUGUUGUUGUUGUUGUUUAGUCGUUUAGUCGUGUCCGACUCUUCGUGACCCCAUGGACCAGAGCACACCAGGCACUUCUGUCUUCCACUGUCUCCCGCAGAUUGGUCAGACUCAUGUUUGUAGCUUCGAGAACACUGUCCAACCAUCUCGUCCUCUGUCGUCCCCUUCUCCUUGUGCCCUCCAUCUUUCCCAACAUCAGGGUCUUUUCCAGGGAGUCUUCUCUUCUCAUGAGGUGGCCAAAGUAUUGGAGCCUCAGCUUCACAAUCUGUCCUUCCAGUGGGCACUCAGGGCUGAUUUCCUUAAGAAUGGAUGCGUUUGAUCUUCUUGCAGUCCAUGGGACUCUCAAGAGUCUCCUCCAGCACCAUAAUUCAAAAGCAUCAAUUCUUCUCUUUAAGUGCAAACCAUCAAAUUUCUCCCCCAUUCCUAGUUGUAAACAGGACUCAGUGGCUCAAUGCAGGCUCCAUGAGACAUCUUCAAGGCUUUGUUUGUGCAAAGCAUCACUGUGUCAUCGUUUCUUCACAGAAUUUAGCCCAUCUGGACGUACUGCUUUCAUGCUUCCAGUCAAGUGAUUUCCCCCUCCUCCUUUCCCUGCCACCAGGAUAAUAUGAACAGACAUCUGUGCCAACUUUGAAAACAAACAAGCAUAUGUUCCAUCCCAAACAAGGAUGCAUGGAAGCAUUCAAAUGUACAAAUGCUUCAUUUAUGGCUGAAUGAAAGAUUCAAAUCAAGUAACUAAUAAUAACAAUAAUGUAGCACAUGGAUAGCUCCUGGAACAAACUGGAUGCAUUUGGAGUCAAAACCUGAACAUCUUCCUUCCUGCAGAGAAGCAGGAAGUACAAACAGUGUUCCAGGAUACCCCGCGGUCCCUUUGAAUGUCACUGGAGUCCUUCAUAGAGAAUAGUAGCAGUGGCAAACAAGAUUCCCUGCAACUGAGGUCACCACCUCUUCUUCUCUUGCAGUCUGCAUCCAGCAAGGCAUGCAUGGAGUGUGGGAAGAAUUCUCGGAAAGACUUCCAACUCAAGCAGCUCAGCGGUGAAACUCGACACACUUUACAUGGAACAAGUUGUGUAACCCUUUUGGAGCAUGCCUCAGAGUCCUUUGCUAAUGUGCUGUGGUUCUGUACCAGACAUGCAAGGAUUCCUUGUCAGCAGUAGCAGGCAGAGGGGUGGAAUGAGGCUGCUCACCCGACCUCUGGCCAUUUGGAUCGCUGCUGCUUAUGGGGAGGCAGAGGGGAACAGGUGAGGGAGGUGUGGGGCAGAUGCACCAGAUGCCAAAAUGAGUGGCUUCACCCCACUGUGCCAUCCAUUCCUCCUUGUCAGAUUCACUGCUCUUGAUAAUAGGAAAUUUGAAAACCAUGCCACUUUAACAAUUGGCACUCCGACUUGCUUUCUCCCUUCUCUCCCCUCCCGGUUCCUUAUUGAUUUUGUGCUGUCUUUUAGAUUGUAAACCUGAGGGCAAGGGAUUAUCUUGUAGACCACUUUGUCUUUUUGAUAAGGAGUGGAAUAACAUGUUUUAUAUUAAACCACUGAUAUGCCCUAAUGAAUGAAACCACACUGAACCACCCCACACAUGCCAUUAACAUGGAAUAAAUGAAUGGUCAUUUAAAUGUUUGUUGCCAAUUAUCCACACACUAAAUAUAAACACCUGGAUGAAGAUUUAUCUGCUUAUAUUAUAUUAUAUCUGCUCAUGAACUUGCUCCAAGCACCAAGGACUAAAGUGACCCAGGGUCAGUUUCAUGAUAUAUGCAGUAAUAUUUUACUUUUCAAUUUAGUUUUCAGCAUGCACAAAAUGAUAGGAGGACUGAAUUUAAGAAAUAUGCUUCUUUGUAUUUGGGGAUUCAUAGCCUUAAUUUGCUAAUAUUUGGACAGCUGGUAGGCUAUUCAGGGAGAUAUUUGCAAACUGUGAAGCUACAAUGUUAUUUAGCACCAUUAAUGAUUUAUAUGAAAUUUCACAGAUUUGGCUACUUGUUACUUAUUAACUCAUUAGAUGAUAAAACAAUGGUUCCUUAAUUGGGUUUAAAAUUGCAAACCUUGGACAGCUGAUGAAACAUUCCCUCAGAAGUGGGGGGGGGGGGGAAGCAAUCACAGAAAUAUAAAUAGGCACGGUUUGAGGAACAGAGGUUUGUAAAUUCAUUGUGCAGUGAUUUGAAAAAAGAUAUAGAUAGAUAUAUGCUAUAAUCAUCCAGUGCCUUCUUAGUGCAAAUAACAAUUCUGAAUCACUAUGAUACAUAGCAUGAUGCCUAUACAUGCAUGCAAAGCUUUCCAUCUGGAUAUGGGUGGUGUGGUUGUAUUUUUCCUAGACAGCAUGAAAUGCUAGUUUACCAGUGACUUAGUUGUGUGUGUGUGUGUGUACAGAGAGGGGAGCUCCUUGGGGUUCUGCUGCAGGAAAGGAUGCUUUGGAUAAUUCUAAGCAUUACAUCUUGCACGCACACAUCUGCACACACAAAAAUCACACCACACCAAACCCAAGUCAUCUAGCAAUAGCUCCACUUUAACAAAUUAAAGCUAUUAUACAUUUCCUCUUAUUUUCUUAAUACAGCACUAACAUGUUGCUGUUACCAUCUAUAAUGCUUUUACAAAGGAGUUUUUCUCUAAUCUUCCAGUGUGACAAGGAAAAAGGAUGGGAAUAUGUAAAUAGGCAGAAAGAGAAAGAUCUAUUCAUGCAAUUGCUACAUUUUUAUCCACCUUAUCUUUGCAAACCCCAUGUAUGAGAUUUCCAAUUUCAAGUGCUUUCUUGUUCAGGACUAGUGGCUGGCAGCCAUAAGUAGGAGAUUGCUUACUGACUCAAUGUCAUGCUUGCAGGCUUCCCAUAGGCAUCUGGUUGUCCACUGUGAGAACAAAAUGCUGGACCAAAGAUGACUUGGAGUGAUCCAGCAAGGUUCUGACGUUCUUAUGUCCAAGGGGUGGAACUAUAGCAGUGGGGUGAGAAGGGGUGGGGGUGGGGAUGAACAAUGUUCUCCAGGUUCACCUCUACCAGGCACACCAACUUGGGUAGGAGAUAACAGGGCUGAUGUUGAGCACGAUGCCACAGUAUCAGGACGUUGUAUCUGAGUGUUGCAUACAGCAUCAUGAUGCCCGGACGCUGGACACAGCAUUGUUGCACACAACAUCUGGGCGUUGUGUGGGAGCCCCACUUUCAUGACUGGCAAUGCUGGUGGUUCCUCCUCCUCCUGCCUCCACCAAAAGGAAAAGGAUGUGAAAGGGUAAAUGGAUAAGGUCAAUAAAGGUAAAAGAGAUAGAGUAAAUAGCUGCUGUCAUCUCAAAGCAACGGUAACAAUAGUAACUUCAAAGCAACAGUAACACAUUACUUAAGUUUACAUGCAUGUUGCAUAUUGUCUUUUUAAGUAAUAAUAACAUAUUGUUUCUAAUAGUAAGCCAAAUUUAUUUUACAACUUACCUGCAAGUAAACGUGUUAUGUUUUGUUUAUAAAAGGCUUUAAUAAAGCUUGGCAUCGUUGCAGAGCACGAAACUCCAGUUUGUUUUGUCCCAUGCCUACAGCCAGUCACUGUAUUUGGGGAAAACGGGUAAGAAGUAAAUAAAAGUGUCUUGAAAUAAAUGGUGCUGGGGAGCAGAAAAUGAUAAAAGAAACCAAGUAUUUGAUUUAGCUGAAGGUUUAAAGUGGUGGCAAAAUUAGUUGGGUCAGAAAGCACCAGGGCCACAGUUCUCGAUAAAGUCCAGGCACUAAUGGGAUAGAAACUCCCUGUUGUCCCACCGGAGCCUCCUCAGGCUGCUAUGCACUUAUGUGCAAGCCAUCCAUCAGAAUCCCUAAUUCUUUUGCUUCUCAGUUUCUCAGACAUUCCACUCGAGCACGGCAUAUGUUUCCUCUGUACAGUUCCUCUCUUUUCAUGCAUAUUUUUAGCAUUUGUGCAACAUGCUCUCAAGUACAGCAAGUGGCUGUGUGUGUGUGGCUGGGUAUGUCUCUCAUGUGAUGCUGCCAGUAUUAAAUACUCCCUAAUUUCUACCCUGCCAAGAAAUAAAACUUGGCACACCUGAAACGUGCAGCUGGCCACCCUGCUUCUUUGACUUACCUUUUCAAUUCACUUCUUCAAUUCUGCCUUGUGCUUUCUCGUCUCUUUUUAAAAAUUAUGUCUGCUGGAGACAUCGGUGUGGUGGACUAGGGAGUGUUUGUCAUGGAUAGUUAGAAUUUUUUUUUUUUAAAAAAGAAGAUAUUGCGUGGAUUCCCAGGCAAAAGAAAAGCCCCAGAAGCUAAAUAUGUCCCUCCAAGCCUCUGUAUCUGACCCACAGGACUCUUCCCACACCACAUAUUUUCCACAGUCACUUCUGUCUCCCUCACCAUCCUGCUUUGCACCCUCCGUGAGAUGUUUUGCCUUGCUGGAAUGUGUCCUUGAACUUGGAUAAUGUUUUUGGUUGCCUGCAUGGAGGAAAGAGAGGUACGUGUCUAGAAACUAACCUAUUGCACAAAGGUAAACAUUGCGUUUGUUGCUCUGUCCAUUUUUGCAUGUGGCCCCUGGAAGGUUGUUUCACUUGGGGUGAAGAAGGAUCCUUCACCCUGCUAUUAGGGAUGCCCUCUUCUCAGUUUAAAGGACUGGGUUGAUAGAUAUUGCUAGUGGAAUAUUUCUUUCUGAUCUGGUCCUUGUGUUGGGGUGUGUGGGGAGUUAGGAGAGGCAUAGAACCUCUGGUGUGGGCCAUGCCAUGCUCCUUCUGGGAUAGCUUGUCCACCUUUGGACACCACCCUGCACUCAGCUCUCACCUGUGGCUCCUAGAAGCUGUCAGCAUUCAGCAGCAGAAACACUGGUAACAGCUUUGAGAGGCCAGCUAAACCAGGUGAGGGUAGUCAAUCUGUAACAAACCCUCUUGAGUUAGGGCAUUCCCCUGCAUGCAAAGACAGGAGACAAGACUAAAAGUGGGUCCCACGGUCAAGAAGGUGGUUUCUGCAUGUGCUGAAGAAGGAAGCGAGGAACAGUUGGGGCUCAUCAACCUGGGAAGGUAGCCCAUCUAGGAGCAGGAAAACUCUGGUCCUAAACCUCCACUGCCUCGUGGAAUAUCUUUGGGAGAAGAAAAGGCUAUGGAGUAAACCCUACAAAAAUCUGGAGUGGAGUCUCUAAGACAGUUGUGUGGCACCUUGAACACCUCCUUCUGACAAUUCCUGCAGCCAAGUUGUUGCCAAAUGUAUUGUUCUGCUUUCCUUUGGACCACAUUGGGGGGCGGGGAUGUCUUGUCAUCUGGGCAGCCCAGGACCUCCAUAUAUACUGCCCAGGCUUCCACCUUGGGGAGUUCACUUUGUUGCCACUAACACAGUGGUUUGACUUCACCCCUGGAGGCGCACGCCAUUGUCUCUUGAGACACGGGUGCCAGUAAGGUCCUUGUGUAGAAAUAAAUUCUUCAAUGCAAGAAGAAUAAGUUCUAAAGCUUUACUUGCAGAAAUUCGGUUACGAAAACAAUAAAUCUGUUACAUUUGUCUUCGUCUUACAAAGUCCCUGACCACUGAUCCCAGCGUGAUGACUUCAAAAACCUUUACAGAAGAAAAUAUAGCUAUCCAGAUAAAAUACCAGCUCCAUGGAAGCAUAGAAUCAUAGAAUUUUUGAGUUGAAAGGGACCCCAAGGGUGACCUGGUCCAACCCCUUGCAAUUCAGAAAUCUAAGCUAAAGCAUCCAUGACAGAUGGCUGUCCAACCUCUGCUUAAAAACUUCCAAGGAAAGAGAGUCCACAGCCUCCGGAGGGAAACCAAUACCAAUAAUGUAUUAAAUGUAUUUAAAAUACUAAUAAUGUAUUUAAACAUUCUUUACAGUAACUUGGAUACAAUGCAUUUAAAAUAUACAGCAUUUUAUGUAAUAUUAAACAUAAUUUCAUCAUAGCAAGAGAGAAUCUCGGGAUGAGCCAAUCUGUUCAAAUGUGAGAUGUAUUCUAUUAGGGGAUCCAAGGUCCCUUUUCCAGGAUGCAACACAAAUCCCAUUUCAUCACUAAAGUCCCACACGUAGUAGCUAACCUCAUUCACAAUAGUAUUCAAAAAUGAUCAGGGUGAUGAUUAUACAAUAUCUAGAACUUGCUUAAACACGUUUUCAGCAGGGAAGAAAACCCUGCUUCCUACAUAAAAAAGAACCAUUGUAUGUUGACUCUUAAUGUUUCAGCUGACAUGAGAGCUAUAACAGAUCACAGCGGAAGAGAGCAAAACUGAAAUGCAUCUCUAUGAAACACACAUAAUAAAAAUGUUAGUAAGCAAAAUAAGGUCUAAAAUAAAAGGAGAAUAGAUAAUAGGAAAAAUAAUGUGAUACUAAACCACAGCUUCUAGUUUGGAAAAUUAUAUAUAUAUGAUAUUAAACAAAACUAUUACCAAAUGUUUGUUAUGUCUCAUCCCUAUAAAUGUGUUUGCGUAUAUUGCUGGUAUCAUUCUAGUUUUUCCUAUUUAAAAAAAUAUAUUCUUCCUUCACAUGAUCUCAGCUCUUCAAAAUCUCCCAUGUUGUAAACCCAGUUUCAGGAUGCCAUGAGAGCCACAAAACUGCUGCCAUUGUGCGUCCCUUUCUCAUUUCUUGCUGGUAAUGAAUGACUAAGCAUAGUGUUAUCUAGGGAUAGGUGAAUCUGUCGAUUUCAAUUUCUCUCAGUUAUUCAUUUCCCCCCAAUAUUUCCUCUCAACUUUUAUUGUCCGUGUCUGCUACCUUCAAGGUUAGAUUACUGCAAUGUGUUAUAUGUAGGGCAGCCUCUAGAGUUGGUUCAACUGAAGCAGAAUUUGGCGACCACUGGGGCAAGGUGGGUUGGGCAUAUUACACUGAUCCCGGCAGGCAAUUAGUUUCCAUACUCAAUUCAAAGUGCUGGUUUGGACCUAUAAAGCCUUAGACAGCUCAGGACUGCAAUACCUCAAGGACCACCUCUCCCCAUAAGAAAUGACUUGGACCCUGCGAUCAUCAUCUGAGGCCCUCCUCUGUAUGACAUCUCCAUGAGAAGUCAGUGGCCUUUUCUGUGGUAGCUGUCUGUUUGGGGAAUGCUCUCCCCAGAGAGGCUCGCCUGGCAGCUUCAUUACAUACCUUCAGGAGCCAGGCAAAAAUGUUUUUCUUUUGUCCUUUGACUGAUUCUGUGUCCUUUUAAAUGUGUUUGUGGGAGGAGGGUUAUCGGGUUGUUUCUGUUCUUUUUUUAAAAUGUAUUUUGUGUUAUCAUAUUGUAUUAUGUUGUGGACCACCUUGUAGUCUUUGGAUGAAAGGCAGUAUACAAAUUUCAAUAAUAAUAAUAAUAAUAAUAAUAAUAAUAAUAGUAGUAGUAGUAGUAGUACAGUGGUACCUCGGGUUAAGUACUUAAUUCAUUCUGGAGGUUCGUUCUUAACCUGAAACUGUUCUUAACUUGAAGCACCACUUUAGCUAAUGGGGCCUCCUGCUAACGCCAUGCCGCUGGAGCCCAAUUUCUGUUCUCAUCCUGAAGCAAAGUUCUUAACCUGAAGCACUAUUUCUGGGUUAGCGGAGUCUGUAACCUGAAGCGUAUGUAACCCGAGGUACCACUGUAGUCUUAUUACAAAUAUGUUAUUACAUGGUGCAUUUCUUCAACACAGUUCUCUAGGAGGGAAUAAUACAGAGGGCAAGCAUCUUGCAUCAUGCUUGGUGUGAUACUAGAUAUUUUGUCCUCUCUUGUGACUUCUGCUGGCUGAAAUUACUCUUUACAUGGCAAAAUUAAUUUCCUGCAACAUCUAUUUUCUCUCUUUUGUUUCAUUUGGUGGGGUUUUCACAUCUGCUACAUCUCUUCAACAAGCUGGUGAAACAACCUUCCAUGGCCUUGUUAUAUAACUAGCAAAAGUUACUAUAUCUGGAAUUACAUUUGUCCACAACAUUUGCUGCAGAGGGCAAAAUUAUGUGUUUUUAUUAUUUCAUGCAGUUUAUUUAUACUCCUGCCAAGGGCCUUGGUAUCUUUUUGCAUAUACUAUCUUAAUCUAGCUUAUAAGCAAUGAAGAAUCUUGUGCUAGGCAAGUUUCAGCACAGAGGUUUUAGCAGUUCAAUAACAUGCCUUUAAUAGAUAAUGUGUUGGCUUGUUAUAAAUGUUACUUUGAAGUUCUACAUAUUCCAGUUAUUCUUACUGAAAUUUGAGCAGGCUUCUUUUAAUGAAGUAUUAAGGAAUCUAGAUAUUAAACAUGAACUAGUGGUAAUUUUGGAAGCAAAACUGAGAGCGAGAGAGAAAGAAGGAGUGCAAAGGUAGCCUUAUAAAUGGUAGAAAUUGACUAUUCAGCAAAUAUUGUUUCAGUGUAUUGUUUACCAUUUAUGAGAGCUGGGCCUUGUGCAGUAUAUCUUGCAUAUUAGUAGAGUAAAGGUCAAGCAAUUUUCAUUUUGCAAGGAAUUUUGUAGAUAAGCAGGGUUCCUAAUGGUUUCCAAGAAGGUCAUUUAAUAAUUGGGCUGUCUUUGAGACUUAUCUUGCAAACCUCAAGGAGGGGAAGAGGCGGUGGUUAAUUUCUGAAGUGAGAUGCCAGGGUUCCAAGCAACCUUGAAGCCACAUCCUCUGACCUGCCACACCUGACCCGAAUCUCAGGUGUCUGUAUAGGUGCCCAGGCUUAUUUGUGAAAAGCAAAAGACAUUCCCAUUCAGAGGCAUUCCUAGUCUAACCUGCCUCACAGGGUUGUUGAGGAUACAAUGAAAAGGGAAUACUGUACAUGCCACCUUGAGAUCAUUAGGGGAAUGGUGGGAUAUGAAUAUGAUAAAUUAAAAUCUCAAGGCUAAUGUGGCAUGCCCCUCCCCAAAUAACCUAGUUAAGACUUCAAGAGGGGGAGCUUGCAUGUGGUAGGAAAGUAAGUAAUUCUAUGUAUAAUCAGGAACCAUUGACUUAAGAGCCCCAGUAUCUUUGUAGAAAGAGCUGUCUAAUUUUUUUCUUAUUAGCAUACCGCCACACGUUAACAAUUUCUGGAGCACCCUUUACAUAAAAGACACCUGCUGCAAAGGGGGAAAAAUAAUGAAAAUAACAACAGCACAUCCCCUAAUUAUAAAAUGAGAAGACUUUCUCGUAGGAAGUAAUUAAUGCUGGUUAAUUAUCUGAUGAGGCUUAUUCAGAUUUUAGGUGUUCUAAAAGAAAAGAGAAAAACAACAAAUCACCUCUAAAGCUAACAAGAUCACUGCCUUAUUAAAAAUGCAUUCAUUACUGAAUUUUAAUGGUAACAUUUGUCAUGUGAAAACUUCCUAUUCUGACUCGUCCUCAAAACUAGAGCUAUUAAUAUGAAUAAUGCCUAUUCAAAUUACUUUUAAAUAUUUAAAACACUCUACUGUUUAAGCCCUUGCCAUAUUUUAUUUCUUUGCAGGGCACAGGUAUUGUAGCUGUAAAAGGUGAAAAAUCACUGGAUGAAGUCAAGUAUUAUGAGAGUUCCUGAAGUAACACAGGUAAUUCAAAGUUCACAAUUCCAUUAUAAUACUAAUGGGCAUUAGAUUAAAAAAGAUCAGCUUGUUUUCUGAGUUUGGAUAAGAACUGAUAAAGCUUUCUGCUACUGUGGAAAGGUAGCAGAAAGGUGGAAUACGUAGGUUUUGCUGGUCCUGCAUGGAAUAUAGCUUUGAGAGAUGCUGUGGACGAAGGUGCUUAGCUCAGUAGUAGAACAUCUGCUUUGCAUGUAGAAUGUACCAGAACUAGGGUUAGGAAGGUGAAAAGUCAGCUUAGUAGUUGCAUGAAGGGGAAGCUCUAGGGAGUUGACGUUGGGGAAUGGCAGGGGGGUUGAUGAGUGGCAGAGACAGGGACACAGCCCCUAGGAAUAUAUAUUUUCUCUCUUUUAAGCUAACAUCUACAUUGUACACCUCUUCAUUUUGAGGAGUAGAGUGAUGUUGUUCUAAAUUAUCCUUCUUGUGCCUCAGAUCUAUCAAAGAAAGUAGGUAAUUCUUAAUUUCUGAUGUGUUUGUGCUACUAAGAUGUCUAGGAUUCCAUUUAGAACCAGGGACUCAGCUCCAUUAGUAAAGAAACAGUGACUUGAAUGCACUAUAAACAUGCAACACUAGAAGGCACCAUGGAGCAGGAAAUUUUAAAACACGCUUUUCCAUAGGGAUUUCUUUCUUUUGUUAUAACAAUCUAAUUUCUGACUUAUUUAUAGCGUGUUUUCCCCCUGUGUCUAGAUCUACCCCAAGUGACCAAUUUCACUGAUGCUUAUAUAUUAAUGUUUCAGUUCAGAAUUCCACUUCACUUUCACCAUUAUGUUCUUAAGGUUGCUUUCUGUUUUGUGGUCCAGGGAGUAACAUCUGUGGCUGAGUUUUACCAUGUGAUAUUUGUUCUUUUCUUUAUCUGCAAAAGUGCUGAUUGGAGCUCUGCUGUGUUGAAUUAAGCUAAUGCAUAGAUAACUGUCCUAAGAAAGUCUGUAGAUAUGAGAAACUUGAACUUUAUCUGCUAAAUCUCUGGUUCCUCACUGGGAAAGUAGAAAAUGCCAUUUUAGAUGAGACCAGUGAUUCAAAUAUAGUUACGCUGAAAUUAGUAGCAGAUGCUUCAGUAACCAGGCGUAAAAAAUGACACAAGGGACAGAUUUUUGGAACUAACUUUCUGUGGGGGAUUCCUCCUCCAAUCCUAUUCCCUCCCAAAUAGAUUUGAUUGAUUCCACCCCUCUUGAAAUCUUUUGUGGGUUUUAGUAUCAUUUACAGUAAGACCAAAAAAAUAGUAGCAUGGAUUUGUGGAGGGGCAGGAGUAGAAUACAGGUGGACUGGCAUGAAGGCAGGUGAUAGGAGACCAUUCAAGAACAGCAGAAGAUUCUCCAGGUGUUAAGAGCAUUGUUUGCCUGAAUGACUACAGUGAAUUGUUAUGAGGUUUGGGGAUGAGGGAGAAAGCAAGCAGGAAUGGCAUGGCUCUUUAUUAGAAACCAGUAGUUGUGCAAUAGGAUAGAAUCCCUGAGGGGUCUCUUCUGAUGAAAAAGAGAGUCCAGGCAGCUGGAGGAGGAUGAAUGCCUUCUCUCUAAAUCAGGGAGGGGGAAACUGUGGCCCUCUGGCUGUUGUUGGACUUCCAUCCGUCCCAGCCAACAUGGGUAAUGAUAGAGAUGGUGGAAAUUAUGGUGCAGAAGUACCGUCUGCUCCUGCCAUUGCUGCCUGGUUCAUGGGCUAAGUGAAUGAUGUUGCACUAUGAAGACAGAUCCUUUUUAGAGUUUAAGCAGUGCUUCCCUGCAUUUCUUUUUCAGCAUGGGGGAACCUUUGUUGAUUCCCAUCUGUGGAUAUGCACGUACAUACUGAAAUACUAAGGGCUCAGAUUUUUUAUUUUUAUUUUUUGAGAUUGUAUUGGAAAACAGGAGAAAGUGGUUAGGUAUGUGAGCUGCAAACCACUUGGAAUUUCAUAGGUCAAAUCCAAUGUCUGGAAAUUGUGGCCAGAAAGCUACUGGAAUCAUUUGAAGUGCAGACCCUGAAGUCAAGGAGAAAUGUGCUCCAGAAAUCAUUCCUAUUUAGAGAUGGGCGGCCAACUCCCCCCACUCCUCAAAUCAUUUGCAACUUCCAGCAAGUUAUCAAGGGCAGCCUGAAGCAUGGCUUAUUAACACUAGUCCAGCCUCAAGGCUUCAAAGGAGAUGGUAUGUAAGUUGCCACAACAAAAUCUCAAAGGAAAGACCCAGAGUCUUCUCAUCAUACACAUGGCAGUGUAAAGUGCUUCUGGCCUCUGCUGAUGCCUAAAGCUCCACUAGAUUUAGAAGAACCUAAAAGCUCUGAUCUUGCACACGGGUACAUGAGAGAAAAAGUUUAGUUGAACUCAGCUGCAAUUUACUCCUGAGUAACCACAUACAGUAUUGCAUAUAAGCACAUAUAUCGUAUCGGCAGCAACUACGAAAACAAAACCCUCUUUUGUUUGGAUUGACGCUGUGCUCUGGAACGUUAGGGUUUACCAUUCUUGUUAGCAAACCACCUAUGAAAUUCUGUUUACACUUUUACUGCUUGGGAAUGGACAAACAGAUUGCGAUUGAUCAAGACCUUUUCUAGAAGAGUGGCUUGAAAUUGCCUCCAUGAACAAAUGCAAAAGGGUCACAAACCCACCUAGUCUGCUGAAUUUAAUCAAGCAUACUUGUCUUCCAAUGCCUGGUGUGUGUGUGUGUGUGUGUGUGUGUGUGUGUGUGUGUGUGAUUGGGGGCUACUGUCAAUGGACAUAUGUCACUAUCCAGACACCACUAUGAUGGCCUGAAGGUGGCUCAGUUGGUUAGAGCAUUGUUCUGAUAAUGGCAAGUUUGUGGGUUUAAUCCAGCUGCAUUCUCCUGCAUUGCAGGUGGUUAGACUAGACGAUUCUCUGGGUCUCUUACAACUCUACAGUUCUAUGAUUCAUUCUAUGAUUCUAUAAUACCAGAAGCAGCUAUGAUUCCUUGUAUUCUAUAACCAAAAAAAGAAGAAAAGAAAAAGGGAAGAAAAAAAAAGAAGAAAAGGGGGAAAAAAGAAAGAAAAUGAUUGAGGUGCUAACUUUGCACAGUUAGUUAAGGAGCUUGGAGUAUUUCUGGCACAUUGUUAAUUUCCAGUCCAAAGUCUAGCUUUCCCGUAUUCUUAGAAUUUUCGCACUAUGCCAAAAUAACUAAUAAUUAGCACACUAAACCCAUUACAAACCUCUUAACACCAGGCAGAGAAUACUUACGAAUUCUCUGCAACAAAAUACAAAACCUACUCAUUAGCAAUUAUAUUGAACGGUUUGCUUCCAAGAUGCCACAAUGCAGGCAUAAUUAGCCAAUUAAGGAACAAAAUAAAUAAUUAUCAAAUAUAAAAGUGAAAGGGAGAGUGUGGGCAAUUUCCCUCUGGGAACAUAAAUACAUUUCCAAGAGUCCAGGCGACAUUGGCAGCCCCUUUCUUUGUGUGAAGCAUCAUGCUGAUUUUUUAUUUUAAAAAAUAAUAAUAAUACAGAUAAUUCUGCAGAUGCAUGAGAAUUUUCUCUGCAGCUAUGGGGCAGGAAUAUUUGUGCAUGCAAAUAGCCAAAUGCACCAAGAUCGGGCAUGUAUAAUUUAUUGGACUGGAUCCAGAUGAAACAUGAGCACUGAUUUCCAUGGAUCUACUCUUAAGCAUGACUAAAUCUGGAUCCAAUCUAUUACUGUUGCUAUUCCUUCUUAAACAUGUUUCCAAUCACAUGGCACCGAAGGCAACAUACAAUCCCCUUCUUAAAAAAAUCCAACAGAUAAGCCAAUGUUUGUAUUUUACUCUCCACCCUGGAGACUAGAACUGCGUUCCCAUGGCAGUUUAUCCCUUUUCCCUGAUGUUUCCCUGACUGUAAAUUUCCACAUUAUGUUUGAGCUUUCACAUGACAUACUGUAAAAACAACUUCUGAAAAACUAAUUGAAUAUAGCUCAUGUUUAGUGCUCAUUGCGCUGCUAUUUGAUUCCAGAAAAAUAAUAAUCUAUGGAUGUAAGGUAAAGGACCCCUGACCAUUAGGUCCAGUCGUGACCGACUCUGGGGUUGCGCCGCUCAUCUCGCUUUAUUGGCCAAGGGAACCGGCAUACAGCUUCUAGGUCAUGUGCCCAGCAUGACUAAGCCACUUCUGGCGAACCAGAGCAGCGCACGGAAACGCCAUUUACCUUCCCGCCAGAGCGGUGCCUAUUUAUCUACUUGCACUUUGACGUGCUUUCGAACUGCUAGGUGGGCAGGAGCAGGGACCGAGCUACAGGAGCUCACCCCGUCGCGGGGAUUCAAACCACCAACCUUCUGAUCAGCAAGUCCUAGGCUCUGUGGUUUAACCCACAGCACCACCCUUUCCAAAUGCCCAGACCUUAAUUCUGCCUCAUCCCACCCAGGUGUUGAUAUUGGAAAAGUCACCCUGAUUUGACAGAUGUCAUAAGCUGAACCUUAACCCAGGAUUGACCCUGCCAAGCAAUCAGCCAGCAGAUGGGUUAGGUGAUUCAGGAUACACACCCAAUGCCUACGCCAAAGCCUACUGACAUCUGUAAUCAACCAAAUUGUGGGUUUGUUAAUCCCAAGAUGUUUGUCCUGUGUUUCUCACAUCUCUCAUGCUUGAGCCCCCACUGCUGGUGGGCUCACUGGGCCUGGGACUGCAAAUCACAACUGGGAAGGGGGGUAGUUCUAUGAAAGAGCACCAACCUUGCAUUCUGAGGCACCCAGGGUUUAUACCGCUGGCAUGCCCAGGUAGGCAUGGGAAAGGCUCUGUCUGAAGCCUUAAAUAAGAAUAAUAUAAUAAUAAUGUAUUAUUUAUACCCUGCCUAUCUGGCUGAGUUUCCCCAGUCACUCUGGGCGGCUCCCAAUCGAGUGUUAAAAACAAUACAGCAUUAAAUCUUAAAAACUUCCCUAAACAGGGCUGCCUUCAGAUGUCUUUGAAAAAUAGGAGAGCUGCUUAUUUCUUUGACAUCUGUUGGGAGGGUGUUCCACAGGGCGGGUGCCACUACUGAGAAGGCCCUCUGCCUGGUUCCCUGUAACCUCACUUCUCUCAGUGAGGGAAACACCAGAAGGCCCUCGGAGCUCGACCUCAGUAUCCGGGCUGAACAGUGGGGGUGGAGAUGCUCCUUCAGUGUAGACAAUGAAACUGUAGACAAUACAGAGCCAUAUGCACCAGUGGUUCUGCUCAGCCCAAGGCAGCUUCCUAUGUUGCAUUCUUACAGAGAGGCAAGGUGACCAAAAAAGAAGCUUUACUUCGUACCCUCCCAACAUUUCUCCAAUGAAAAUAGGAAUGUCCUAUUCAAUAAUAACAAUAAUUUUAUUUAUACCCCACCCAUUUGACUGAAUUGCCCCAGCCACUCUGAGUAGCUUCCAACAUAUGUAAAAACAUAAGAAAACAUUAAGCAUUUUAAAACUUCCCUGUACAGGGCUGCCUUCAGAUGUCUUCUAAGGGUUGUGUAGUUACUUAUCUCUUUGGCUCGGGGGUCGCAUAACUCCAUACCUGCCAACAUUUCUUCAAUGAAAAUAGAGAUGUCCUGAGGAAAAGUUGGGCUUCCUGAGAUUAAAUCAAAAACUGGGAUGGCUUCUGUAAAUCUGGGAUUGUCCCUGGAAAAUGGCGACACUUGGAGGGUCUGUUGCUUGGGUAUGCACCAUCAAAACCCAUUUAGAGGGUUACGAUGGUUGAAGUGGAAGCCAACCACACAGUGUCUUUUUCUUAUUUCUUUUUAGUACUAGGCAGACUUAGCAGAUGAUAUUUUGAUUUAACUGUGGGUGUAAGAGAUUUUCCCCAGGCGCUCUCUCUCUCCCCCCCUAUAUAUAUAUAUGGUGGUUAUAGCUCCCCCCCUUUUUUGUUGGAAAACACGCUGCUUUGGGGAACAGGCAGGAAAGCUCUUAAAAUGCAUGAGGAUUAUUUCUAUGACACAUUCUAUACAAUAGACAGCCUCAAAAUAUGGUAAUGCUCCUAACUUCCAAUGUUUUUACAAAAGCCUCACUGUUGUCAAGCGGAAAAACGACAAUUUUUAAAAGAACAAGAAAGCGGAUUAUGUACAGACUGCCAGCAUUCAUCUGUGAUUUGUGUGAAGGAUUUAUAAUGGCAAUCCUCGGAUUGCUCGCUCUGGAGAAAUGAGGCUGCACAUGGGAUGGGGGGUUGAGGGCCGCCGUCUCACUAAUCUAAGUUACAACCAGAUUUUUAAAAAUGAAGAUGGCCUUUGUGUCUUGAUCAAUCCUGUGGAAUAGGAUAGUGCUUUUUUAAAAAGAGCAUUCAAGUUUUAGUUCUGGUGAGAGAACUGGACUAAAAUUAACAGGCAUCCAAAUGGAUAAUAGAAAUUAGUUUUCUUCUCUGGCUCUGCACUCUUUUAGUAAAAUGAUUAGGAAUGGCAGAGAACUUCAAUUCAGUUCACAUUUAAAGGCACAUCUAACCAAUCUGCACUUUCAGAAACAAUAUACAAAGGGGAACACAGCCAUCCUUCAAAAUCCACACUUCUCUGUCUCUUGCAAUGAAGUUAUCCAGCCAAGGAACAUGUACAAAAUGCAUCUACUAGGCUAAAGCGUGCAUAAAAAUGCAUAUAUUUGGAAAUUUGCCUUGUAAAAAUGUGUGUAUCAGGAAAAAUCCGCAGUAAAAUGUGGAUGAAUCUUGAUAGAGACUUUUUUUUUAAAAUGCAAACUGAUGUGGAAAUGUGGAGAACUGAAUUUAUGAUUUGAAAAAUGAGAUUCUUUGCAGUGUGGGGAUCUCAAGUGCUUUUUUUAGAUCUGACCUUGGUAGAUCUCUGGGCAUUCUCCAAGCUGUUGACAAAUAUCAUUAGGUCAACAGUUUGCUUUUGCUUACCUUUGCACUGCUAAAUAGGUCAGGGAUACUUGUGCAUUUGUUAAAUGUAUUGCUGUGGAGGUGAUGACUUGGCAGGGAGCAUCUCUGAUGAGGCAAUAUUGUUGUGCUCCUGAAAUAGUUUAAACGGCCAAUACUAGAAAACUAUAGACACAUCUAAGGUUGCAAUUAUAAGCAUACUGUACUUACCACUAAGCAAAUAACCCUCGAUGAAAUUGAUUCUCGAAAUGAUGUGUUCAGGACCAUGUGGUAAGAAAGCAAUAUUGCUUUAAUCAGUUAACAUUCACCUCCAGUAGACAUGCCUGUUCAGAUGUUGCCGUCCUUGAGAAUGUGACCACCAGAUGAAAUCCGGACAUGUACAAGAGGUUUGAACAGCGUAGUGAAAGUGGCAAAUUAGUCAUCCCUUGGAUAUUUUAUGAUUUUUCUGCAGCCUUUGACCUCUGCUUGAAUGAAAUAAUUUAAAUGGAAAUGGACCUCUUAGCACAAUAUAGCGGCCGGCUCUAAAUGAAAGGGAGAAGAAACCUUACAUUUUUGGUGUUUUCUUUAUCUUGCAGUGACAUUCGGGGAUUGAACAAAAAUGGCCAGUUCAACUAAUCCCUAAGGAAACCUUACGAAAAAGACAAUGUUGUGCAAGGCUGCAGAAAUAUUGGCUUGCAUCUAACCAAAGGCGCAUGAUAGUUGGCUUGUUUACUGAAAACUAACACAGGAUUGUUAACUUUAUUUUUGUAUCUGUGUCUUCAACAGUAUAUUUUUAAAAAAAUAUUAGCAGGGUAUAAUGUUUAUUUACCUGCUAAUUUUCCCAAUCAAGCAACUUUUAAAGGGAAAGGAGUGGAUUGAGCUCCAAUCCCACCCUCAUGUCAGCUGGCAAUCUGACCCCAACAGAAUAUUUAGGGUGGAAUUCAACAAAUGUACCCAUACAGAAUAUUUAGAGAGGAAUCGUUCCAUCAGCACAAGCAUUUUUGCUUGGCAGACAGAACAGAUGUUGUCCCCUCCAGUGCCCCCCAUUCUGGGGGUUCUCCUAUCCCAAACAGAUUUGGGAAGGGCACAGCGGGUGCAUGCAUGGGGGAAGAGGAGGGGUGAAAGCCCCACUACAUUAGUGGGGACUCAUUGCACUGGCUGCUGCUAUUGAAAUGAUUUAGCUACAUGUGACAAAGAGGCAAUAAGGUAUUGACUGACAAUUGCAAGGUUCCCACAUGAACAGCUGGAACAUCAGUAUGUGUGCAUGCAUGAAGGGGUUCUCUACAAGUACCAGUUAAGCCACGUAAGUUUGGGUGGGACUUGCCACUGUGAUGUGAUCUCUCAUGCCCAUAUAUGCACGUUCACUGAAUACAUUCUGAUUGAUUAGAGCUAACUCAUCAUCAGAGGAGUCCUAUGCAAAUUUAGACUGCUAUUCAAUGGAAUAGGGUUACAAAAGGCGCAAGGUCAUUUGAUCCCUGGAAAAUUGCACACUUUCAAAAUCCCUUGCAAAAUAGGAGCCCCCCCUGCCUUUGUCAGGAUCACGAAAGCCUAGAAUAUGGGAGGACACAUAGACCGCAGAGUUGUAAAACACCUCCUUUAGUGAACACUCACAUACAGGCUUGGGAUGAAGUUAUGUGCAAAUGUACACUUCCCCUACCAACUGCUUCUGAAGGCUCAUUUCACACAUAGAAAGCCAGGGCUCUGAAACAAUCCCCAGUUUACCUGCCAUGAAAAUUAAAACAGCUUUACAGUGAGCAGCAGCUAUUGAAUCUGUGCUGCAAGCAAAACACAGAAGGUCACAAUUCUGUUUUGCAGACAGUUCUAAAUUGGCAUUCAGGAGACCCGUCUUCCUCACAUCCACGGCGACAUUUAACCCUGUGCAAACAAGGUCUGGAGUCUGACUGAGAACUGCAUAGAAGGUGACAGAAAAACGUUUUGACCACAGCUACUGUCUCUCCCCGCCCCCACCCAAUAUAGAACUGAGUGAAAUAAUUCUCCUUUAGCUUUCAUUACAAAAUGUAUGUGUUUUGAAAAAGAUUGCAUUGCUAGUCCUGAGAAUUGAUGCCUAUACCUAUAUAUGUUCCUCUCAAGGGCUGCUUGCAAAUCAGUGAACUGCUGGAGGCAGCUUCUCAGGGGAAGGUACCUUCAGGCCUUAGAUUGACCUCGUCCAAUCAAUGUGCCAAUUGGAACUUCCAGACCCUCCAAGCUGUCCUGGUUUCUGAUUUGAUAACAGAAUGUCUCAGUUUUCCUUAGGAUGUCCCUAAUUUCAUCGGAGAAAUGUUGGAGGGCAUGGAGUUAUCCGACCCCCGAGCCAUCUGCAGGCAGCCCAGUAUAGAGAAGUUUUAAAAUGUUUAAUGUUUUAGUAUGUUUUUAUGUAUGUUCGAAGCUUCCCUGAGUGGCUGGGGCAACCCAGUCAGAUGGGUGGGUUAUAAAUAGUAAAAUGAUGUUGAUGAUGGAAUAGGACAUUCCUGUUUUCAUCAGAGAAAUGUUGAAGCGUAUGCUCUUCCUGAGCAGCGAGGAAUAUUAACUAUUUCCUAUUUCAGUUUAACCUUGCUUGAACAACAAGGUCAUCCUGAGCUCUGGUGUGUUGGCUAUUCCCUUGGAUAUUCUUCACUCAUACCUCCUCGUUUGUCCCUUGGUCCUGAAUACUGCCUUGGCCUGUGACUCUGUCAGCUCAGAAUGCUGACAGAAGAAGCAACUUGGCGGUCAUUGUUGCUUAUUGGGAAGAGGCAGCAGGGAGGCUGGCUCGUGCAAAUGUACUAACAGGACUGCUGGGUUGGCUUUGCCAGUGCGCUGGAUGCUUGGAGCAAAUCUGUAUAUGAAGAAAGGCACACAGUGCACCUUUCCUGGAAGUUUACAAUUUCAGAAUACAGUUUUGAAAUGGUGAGAUAAGUGACACACAUAGUUACAGGCUGCACACCAAACUAAAUCACCAUCGAUCUGUUACAAUAUUUGCUUGGUGGGAGAAAAAGCAUGGAAUCCUGAGAAUAGUUAGAUCUACCUGAUUUCCUAUUUGUCAGAAUGCAGCUUUCUGGAGCAAAAGUUUACUAACCCCCCCCCCCCCGCACUCCACCUUUCUUCUUAAAAUGUGCUUUACCUGAUCAGUUGACCUAUCUUGAAACUUUUUAAAAAAGAAUCUGGAUAACUUGAAAGUAAGUAGAAAGAGAGGUGUCAUGCUGAAUAUAACUUACAUUGAUCGCAUUGACCUUUAUUUGAGUUCUCUGCUCCAGCAAGGGGAAGCACUGUGAGAGUUUAACAAUACAACAAAACCAGCAGGUUGUGUUUUGUUUUUAAUUUUUUAAAUUUUUAUUUCAUAUAUAUGUGCCACUUUCCCAGCAACUAGGUUGAGCUCCAAGCAACGCAUCAAAAACUUAACAAGUAAUAGCAUUCAAUAUAUAACAGUAUCCACCGAUAGUGAUGUUCAUACAAGGAUGGAGUAGUAUCCCAACACCUUCCUCUUCCAUCAGCUUAGGUAAACACCAGCAUUACUUGCAUUUUGGCACUUACCCAGAAAAGACUGGGAAAAUCUUUUUAAUAUCUGAUACUAAUGGUUUGCUCGUGAUUUUAACCUUGAUCAAGGCUAUUAGCUCUGUUUCACUUGUAUUGCAUUUCCAUUGUUUGAAAUCUAUAUUUUAAAUGCUGUUUUAUACCACCUCAACAUCUGUAAUGGUUUCUAAGGGGUUGCUCGUGUGCCAGCAGGCAACUAUCUCCCUGGCUGGGUGCAAACACCUGGCUGCCAAAGUAAACUUUAUCUGUCCGGACCACCACUCACCUGUGGCUGACUCAAUCGCUGGCAGAAUCCGUGAGUGGGUGUUUCUUAAACUUCUUCCAGCAAAGAAGCUCUUUGACGCCUAGUCUCCGCCUACCCUCUCUGCGCGAAAGCCUUCUGCGCAAAGAGGGUGUGGGCAACGGAGGACCCCUACUCUCCCCGCUGGUCCCAGGCAAGGAGUCAUGGGACCGCCUUGCCACUUCCCCCACCUGCCCCCCUUCUCCACUGGUGCUACGCUGAUUCUCUUCCCCAGAAGAUGGGCUGCUUCUCCCGAUCCCUGGACGCUCUCUAGAAUCCCUCUGGCUUUUGCUGUCUCCCUCCGGCACUGAUGGCAGUUCCCUGACAACAUCCAAUGUGAAAGGCAGUACAGAAAUGUUUUAAUAAAUACAAAUAACUAAUAAAUAAAAUCCUAGGCUUUGUUACUGUUUUGCUCCCUGCUACCCCCACCCAAAAAUACAAAAAUACUGUAUCUGCUUAAAGAAGUAAAAGCUUUUGCAGAACAGAGUCCUGUUUCCCCCUUUGACCCUCUCUCUAGCUUGCUGCAUUUUACAGACUCCCACUUUUCCUCUCUAGCUCACAUCACAGCAAAACUCUAAAACUCAGCUUCAAAGGCUUUUGUCUUUCUAUCUAAUUCUGAGUUGAGGGAGGGGCUCCUCCCAUUUGCCCUCUGCCACAGAGCCACGCUCUUUGUGCCCCUAACAACCCAUCUUUAGUGGGUAAAGGGCAGCCUGGCUAUUUCAGCAAUUGAAUUCCUGGAUCCAGGAAUUAGAAGUGGGGAAGAGGUAAUAAUUCAGCCUAAGCCCUUCCCUGGGCAAUUUCCUGGACACAAGACCCCAGCCUGGUUUGUGUUUUAACAUGCUAAAUCCAGUGUCUGGCACCCAGGAAUUAGAAGGGAGGUCCAGGCACCCCCACAAACUCAUAGCAGUACAUUUUUGCUCUAAGCAUUUAAAUUAUGACAAAUAAAUAGACAGAAUCAAUUAUACUCACAGCUUCACCUUUUUUUGUCCGUCAAGAAAAAAAAGACUGCAAUAGAUCAAUGAUAAGUAAGUUUGGCAGCUGACAUUUAACUAAGCAGAUGGCUCAUCUGAUAAUUUGUUAGACCUUUUUUGACUUGGGCCUUCGUGUGAGACCUUGAGAGACCUCCACAGGCAAGGAUCAAUCCUUCUCAUAUAAUUACUGUUUCCCACUCCAAGUCCUUGGCAUGUUUAGAUUUAAAUGUAUUGUUAUAGUUGCAGACAUCCAAUUUAGGCUCACUGGCCUAAACUUGUAAAUAACAGGAGAGCCAUGUUAUACGUGGCAAUGUGAAGUAGUACAUGCAAAUGUAGCAUUUACAGUUUUCUCUUAAUGAUGCCAGUCUGUUGAUUGGAGCAGUUAAACUGAAGAUCAGUGGACAGGAGAACACUCAUCAGACUCCUGAAGGAAUGUCACAUAAGGCUUGUCCUUACAUUAUACUUAACACAGUUCACAAGCUGUCUCUACACAUGUACAAGUGUUUUUGUGAAAGAGUGGGCAAUUUUUGAUUUGUGCAGCUUAGCUACUGUGUACACAGGCUGUGCGUUCAUUGAACAUUACAUGUGAACAGCUGUACAAGGGUGUAUACAGGUACAGACUGUACAUUUGUUGAAUAUCUUGUAUGAACAUGCAUGUAGAAAAGGGCAAAGAUGUUUUCCCUGCUGACCCAGGGGCCACUUCUGGAUCUAAUCUAAGUUACAGGAAGGUAGAUUUCAGCUGAAUGUUAGGAACAACACGCUGGUGAGAGCAGUUCUACAAUUCAACCAGGUCCCAGAGGUUAGAGAUGGACCGAGGAGCCUAUUUCUUUGCAUAUGUUUAUUUAUAUGUCCUUUCCAUCAGUCUGUGUCAUGAACUGGCAGGAUGAUGUGGAGGAGGAAGAGGAUCCCUGGGACACACCGGGGCAAACUGGGGAUGGGGAAGGAAGUACUCACAGGGUGAUGGAGGAUAACAAGGGUAUGGGGGUCAAUGCACAGGAAACACAGCAGCAGGCCCCAUCACCAGAAGGGCCCCAGUCUCCACAAGCACAGUGGACUCUGAGGCAUAGGGUGUCGGAACUCCACUCGGCCAAGCCGAUAAGGCCUCAUCUUCCUCCGAGCCUUUGAAAUCGCCUCCGACGUGUUUAAUCACCUGAGCCUUUGAUAAGGCCUCAAGCACAUUCUACCCAGCAGGGUUCCCAGCACAGGGAAGAGACGAGAGGUUUGGCUACAUUGUAAAGAGUUUUAUUUCUAAACUACGCAGAACAGAAAAGACAUCCUUUCUCUAUGAAAGCUGAGAGCAACAGAAACAAAGGAACAAAGGAAACAGGAAACCACUAACGUCACAUCCCGUCUCCCUUCCCGUGAGACUUCCAAGAGUCUGGACUGUCUCUGGAAUGUAAACAGAGCCCUGUGACUCCCAGCAGCUGCACAGUGAGAAACAGAAACUAACAUAAGGAGCAGUGGGAGGGGUGCUCUAGGAGGCUGAGGCAGGCAAGGGCCCACAGCCCAGCUCCCUAGCUGGCCAGGUGGGACUCACUAGCUCUAGGAAGAGGUGUGUGAUUCCUCAGCUGGAGUAGGCUUGGGUAAGGGUCACCUGCCUCGCCAAGCCCAGAUGCUGCAGUCAGCAUACAGAGUACAAAAGGAAGCAGAGCUGGGGUGCUGUGUUUACUUAGUUGCCCAUGCUGAUGGACCUUGACCUGGAUGCUCCUGGACCUCUAUGGGACUGUGCUUUGGAUUUGUCUCUGCACUGUAUGCUGACUGCUGGACUUCAGACUUGGCUACUUGGAUUGGCCUUGUACUGCGUUUCCUGAUCUCCAGACUUUGGAUUUUGGACUUUGCUUAAAUGGAUUGACCCCUGGACUUUGAACUUUGGAUUUGGCAUAGCGUCUUGCUGCCAGGUAGGCCAGGGGUUUGGGACAAUCUUUCUUUUUAAAAAACUGCAUUGAAAUUAGUUUUAGUAUUACUUUUAAUGUAUUUCCCCUUUGGGGUAGAUUCAACUAAUUAGUUGCACUAUAUCACCUCUCCUUCCCCUGUGCCACCCCAAAAUUGGCUCUGGAGUGGGGGGUGGUAGGAGAACCCCCAGAACACCACACGGGGAGGAGAGGGGAGAAUGUUUCAUCAGCCAAACUGAAAUGCUUAUGUUGGUGGAACCUUCAUCUUUGAGCAGCAUUUAAUUCUUCCAUCUAUAUUCCACUGGAAGAGCAGGAGGCUCUUAGGGGCACGAAAGCUACCCAAGGCUGACUCAGCUCCUACUGGGUGUCUCCCCAUCCAUCUCGAACCUCUGUUAUCAUUAGACUCAUGUUUAUUGCUGUUGGGCAGCAUUAUAGGACAGAGGUAAUAAAUAAAUAUGGCUAUGAGUUAUAACUGCCAAGUCAGAAUGGAAUGAAAGCUCAUCCAAAUGAAAAAGGGAUCUGUAGUCAAAUAGCCCAAUGAUUUAUGGGCCACAGAACGGGCUUUAGUGUAUAUCAACAUUUGAUUCCCAAGGUUUAUUUUAGUCAAAUGCAGUUUGAUGUGACAGCUCUGAAAUGAAAAAGGUGUUCAGGCUGGCCAAUGGAUGAUAUAUAACAAGAAAACAUUAUGCACUUUCAGGGGGAUUUGUCAAAUAAAGCAUCUCAUGAAUAUAUUGCCUGUGUUCCCUUUUAAACUCUCUCAUUGUAGAGCAUUUAAAUAAGGGCAAGCCUUAAAGAGUUUGCACUUUUCUCGUGCUGACACCGCUGGGGAAGAAUCCUGUCCUGUUGAUGAAUUGCCAGCACAAUUCGGAACAAUGGGGGAAGAAUAAAACCAGGGGCCUUAGAAGUAUCUAACCUCCACUGAGCUAAGCGAUCAUAGAUUUUAGUGAUACAAAGACUACAAUAGGAGAAGAAAAAUCCCCUUCUCUUCUCUUAUGCUUUACAUUUCUAGCUCGGGAUCACACACAAAAAAGGAAGUGAGGGCGAAUCUGCCUGUGAUGGGAUGAUGAGCUGCUUGUNNNNNNNNNNNNNNNNNNNNNNNNNNNNNNNNNNNNNNNNNNNNNNNNNNNNNNNNNNNNNNNNNNNNNNNNNNNNNNNNNNNNNNNNNNNNNNNNNNNNUGUGUGAGCCCCUCAGACAUGGCUCCUCUAGUCACUAGCAGAUUCCGACAGUGGUUGCUUUCGGAAUCGCUUCCAACAUAAAAGCUCCUUAACGGAAACACGUCUUCUGGACUCUCUGCGUGUCAGUUUCCGGCGAGGAGUGGGUGUCCCUACAGGAGGUCCUGAAACCUCCCGACUGUUUUCGCUGGAAGUGUCUCUGAGCCAUCCCUCCAGCUCACUUUCCCUCAGCUCAGCUCCUCUCCCCCUACUGGUUCCCUCUUCAGCUGCUGAGUCUCUCCCAACCUGUGUGAGCCCUUUCACCUCCCUUCCUUCCGAUGGCAGUUCCCUGACAUCCACCUCCCCUCCAGGGCCCCCUUCACCCCCUCUCGCACCCUCCUCUACGGGCGGUGAGGAGGCAAAACCCCGGAUGAACUUCCUUCAUCUUCCGAUGUCUCGAACACUUCUCUCCACCUGUUGCGGUUCCUGGUCUCGAAGUACUCCUCCUCCUCAGAGUCCAUCUCCCCUUCCCCUUCCGAGUUCGGGAAGCCUUCCAACUCCUCCUCCUCAUCAGUGGUCCCAAAGUAUUCCCUCCGGAACCUCUCCACAGGCUGAGGUUUCCUUGGGAACCUUUGAUGGAACGUUUCUAUCAAUACCUCGUCAUUGAUAUCUUCGGCCAUUACCCAAGUGUUUUCUGACUCCGGUUCUCCUUCCCACGCUACCAAAUACUCCACCUGAUUCCCCUUCCACCUGGCGUCGAGGAUUUCUGCCACAUGGCUGCUGCAUUCUCUUUCUUCUAUGACCGGUCCCAGUGGCCAUCCCUUCUCGUCCCCCUUCGUACGGUGACAGUAACGACCUGUGAAAUACUGGGUGCAGUUUCAUGUGGUUGGGUAACCGGAGCCUGAAAGCCACUGGGUUGACCUGUUGAAUGACCUCAAAGGGACCCAACCUCCUGGGUCUUAAUUUCUUACAACCUCCUUUGAGCAGCAGCCCUUGGGUUGACAGCCACACCCUAUCUCCCACCCUUAUGGUUUCACCUUCCCUUCGGUUCUUGUCUGCUUGCCUCUUGUAUUCUUCCUUCGCCCUUUCUAAGUUGAGUUGGAGCUGACAAUGGAUUGCUUCCAUUUCUUCUACAAAAUGCUCGGCUGCCGGGACGCUCCAUCUCUCCCCAUCUCCGCCUGGGAAAGCCCUGGGAUGACACCCAUAAUUAGCCAAGAAGGGGCUCAUCCCUGUGGACACAUUCUCGGCAUUGUUGUAGGCAAAUUCCGCCAGCGCCAACUUUUCUACCCAGUCAUUCUCUCUGUCAUUGACAUAACACCUCAGGUAUUGCUGGAGGACACCGUUUGCUCUUUCCGCCUGCCCGUUGGUUUCAGGGUGCCGGGCAGUCGAAAAAUUGACCUCCACCUGCAGUAAGCUCAUGAGCUUCCUCCAGAACCUGGAAGUAAAUUGUUUUCCUCGGUCUGAGACCACCCUCAAUGGCACCCCGUGCAACCUAAAAAUGUGUUCUACAAAUAACUUCGCUGUCUCUUCUGCCGUGACUGCAUGCGAGCAAGCUACAAAGUGGCACAUCUUUGUUAGUAGGUCCACCACCACCAUGAUGGCUGUUUUCCCUUUGGACUUCGGCAGAUCAGUCAUAAAAUCUAUCGACACUGCCUCCCAAGGUCGUUCUGGGGUUGGUAAGGGUUCUAAUAGCCCCGCCGGCGCCCGCCUUUCCCCUUUGGCUCGCUGGCAUUGCUCGCACCCUCUUACAUACUCACGUACAUCUUCCCUCACCUUGGGCCACCAAAAUUCCCUGGUGACCAACCACAUGGUUUUGUGUUGUCCAAAAUGCCCCGCCGUAGGGCUGUCGUGCAACUGCUUGAGUACCCUCCCCUUAAGUCUCCUUCAGGGAUAUACAGUGCCCCUUUGUAAUACAAAGCUCCAUUUCUUUCCUCGAAACCCCCUGGUUCCUCUCCCUCACCCCUAAGACCUCUGAGCUUAUUCUGGGCGUAUUCAUCAUUCUCUGUUUCCUCUACCAGUUCUCUUUGUCCCACCAAUGCCGCCCCACACACCCAGCGGUCCUCUGGAAUGACAUGUCUCUCUUCGGGUGCUCCCUCCCCCUCCAAAUAUUCAGGUUUGCGUGAGAGAGCGUCCGCCCUAAUGUUCUCUGGGCCUGGCACGUAACAAAUCUCAAAGUUAAAUUUGGAGAACUCCUGGGCCCAUCUCACUUGCCGUUGGUUGAGCACUCGUGCCGUCCUCCAAUACUCUAGGUUCUUGUGGUCAGUGCACACUUGCACCUUAUGUUGUGCGCCAAUUAGCAGGUGCCUCCAUCUCCGGAACGCCUCAUGAAUGGCUAGUAGUUCUCGGUCAUACACCGUGUAGUUCCUCUCGGAUUUGUUCAGCUUUCGCGAAAAAAGGCACACGGUCUCCACUCUGACUCCUCCUUCCCUGGCUGCAGAAGCACCGCCCCAAUCGCUCUGUCUGAUGCGUCAGUUUCCACUCUCAUCGGUUUUUGUAAAUCCACAUGCAGGAGUUGUUGUUCCGAGGCGAAGGCCCUUUUUAGUUCCUCAAAUGCUCGCUCCGCCUCCUCAGUCCAAACGAACUUCUUCUUACUGCUGAGACAGUUCGUAAUGGGCGCCGUCAGGUGGGCAAAGUUUCGGAUGAACUUACGAUAGAAGUUCCCAAAUCCUAGGAACCUCUGAACAUCCUUCCUUGUUUUGGGUGUUUUCCAUUCCAGCACCGCCUGGACCUUGCCGGGAUCCAUGGCCAAUCCCUUGUCUGACAGGCGAUACCCCAGGAAUUCCACCUCCUUGGUAUGAAACUGACACUUCUCCAGUUUCACCCACAGCUGGUUGGCUUGCAGCCUGCUCAACACUUCUCUGACGUCUCUCACAUGCUGCUCCUCAUUCUCAGAAUACACCAACACGUCGUCUAAGAAGGCCACACAAUUCUUGUAAAGCAAAGGCCCCAGGACGUGGUUCAUAAACGAUUGAAAGCAUGCAGAGCCUGCUUGGAGGCCGAAGGGCAUAACCAAAUAUUCAAAUGCCCCUAAAGGGGUGAACAUGGUGGUUUUCCAUUCAUCACCCUUCCUUAUUCGUAUCAGGUUGUACGCCCCCCUUAGGUCCAGCUUUGUGAAAAUCUUUCCCUUCCGCACCCUUGUCAAAAUGUCGUCAAUCCUGGGCAUAGGGAAGGCCACUGGUUCUGACACUGCAUUUAAGGCCCUGAAGUCACACACCAGCCUCGGCUUGUUCGUGUGUUUUUUCCCCACAAAAAACACUGGGCUGCCCCCCACUGCCCUGGACUCUCUGAUGAACCCUCUCUUCAGGUUCUUGUCAAUGAACUCUCUUAGCUCCUGCAUCUCUCUGUCUGACAUGGCGUACAGCUUGCCUACAGGGAGCUGUGCCCCAGGGAGUAAAUUGAUUUGACAGUCAAAGGGUCUAUGCGGGGGUAGUUGGUCAGCUUCCCUUUCGCUGAAGACGUCACGGAGAUCUGCAUAUUGUCGUGGUACCUUCACGUUCUCCGUUACUUCAGUCCCUGCUAGGGUGGCUUGGGCCCCUGCCAAACCCUUUCCCUCUUUGCAGUGUUCUAAGCAAUGUGCUGAACCAAAAGAAACCACUCUCUGAUGCCAGCCCACCAGCGGAUCAUGUAACGCUAGCCAGCUCAUCCCCAAUAUAAUGGGAGCUCCUCCCAAGGUGGCCACAUUAAACGCUAUCAGUUCGGUGUGCCUGGCUACCUUCAUUAUCAUUGGGACGGUCUGCAAGCUGACUUCUCCUCCCAACAGCUCCCUGCCAUCGAUCGUGGUCACCUGCAGGGGGUUGCUUAAGGGAUCGUCUGUAUCUGGUGUUCAGCUGCAAACUCUUUGCUCAUGAAAUUGCAGGAGCUGCCUGAGUCCAACAGCGCCUUUAUCUUUAGAGGGUGUCCGUUUGGCAGCUCUAGCGUCACUUCUAUCACUAGGGCGGGUUUAGGAGGUUCUGGCGUGGGCACUCUCACUGCUCUUUGGCCUGGCUGCUGUGCCCCGACAGUGGCAGCCAGGCGUUGGCUUUUACUUGCUCCGGUAUUUCUUCCUCUCUUCCCUCCACAGCUCCUACCAUCCCUUGCCAUUCCUUCCUCUGGGGGCAGACUCUGGCAAAGUGACCUGGCUGUUGGCAGAGAUAGCAUUUCCGGGCGCCUUUUCCCUCCUUCUUUCCCCCUCACUGGGCUUUGAAACUGCGCGCGCGCGCGCUGUUCCGAUUUCCAUCGGCUCUGCCGGCGGGAAAGUUGGCUCUGGAAUGUCUGGAAUGCGGAACUCCUUCCAACGUUCCCCUUUCCCUUCCCGCCUCUCCAAUGCUCUCGCCUCCUGGCGCGCUCCUAUGGUCAGCGCUGAUUUGGUCAGCUGGUCCAUAGACUCCGCCCUGGGCGCCCGGGAAAGUUCGUCUUUCACAGCCGAAGAAAGCCCUUCUUCAAAGAGCAUUUGAAUGGGUUCCGCCGAUAAGUCCCACCCCAAUCUGUGAACCAGCAUGGUGAACUCAGUCCAAUACUCACGGACAGAUCGGCUCCCCUGUUUGCAAGCCAUUAACUGUCUGCGCACCACUCCCUGUUCAAUAUCGCUGGAAAACAUCAGAUCCAUGGCGCGAAAGAACUUCAUCGUGUCCUUUAGGACGUCACUAUUCGCUGCCAUCAGGGGUCUAACCCAGUCUCUCGCCCCUUUUUCAAGAUGCUCAAUCACGAAAGCCACUCGUGAUUCCUCGUCAGGGAAUUCAUCAAACUGCAGAUUGAGGGCAUAUUGCAUCUCUGUCCGAAAGCCAUGAUAGUCUUUGGGCUCCCCCCCAAACUUCUGCACCAAUCCUGGUACCUUUCUGGCGAGCUGGGUGGCUUUCCCCUUUGUCUGCAUCCUGAGCCCUCCUCUCCUCAAGCCUCGCCGUCUGCAUCGCUAGCUGGACCUCCAACACCCGGUACCUUUCUUCCAGGCUUGGACCCGCUCCAGCUCCUGCUUCUCCGGUUCCGGCUGGGUUGCUCAUGAUGCCUUCUCCUGCACAAGCUGCUUUCAAAGACUGUCGGAAUGCUGUGAUGGGAUGAUGAGCUGCUUGUGCGUAAAAUCGUAUCCCCUCAGAGUUUGUUCAAGUCCACAAACCUCUGUCUGUGACGGAGCCCCUCAGACAUGGCUCCUCUAGUCACUAGCAGAUUCCGACAGUGGUUGCUUUCGGAAUCGCUUCCAACAUAAAAGCUCCUUAACGGAAACACGUCUUCUGGACUCUCUGCGUGUCAGUUUCCGGCGAGGAGUGGGUGUCCCUACAGGAGGUCCUGAAACCUCCCCACUGUUUUCGCUGGAAGUGUCUCUGAGCCAUCCCUCCAGCUCACUUUCCCUCAGCUCAGCUCCUCUCCCCCUACUGGUUCCCUCUUCAGCUGCUGAGUCUCUCCCAACCUGUGUGAGCCCUUUCACCUCCCUUCCUUCCGAUGGCAGUUCCCUGACACUGCCUAUAGGAAAAACAAGUUUCAGUUUCUUCUCUUCCAUCCUGAAUUCUCGUCCUAUAUAGUUUCAGUGCCCAUGGCAUUGUUUUAGGGGGUAGCCCGAGUCUUUUCUACUGUACCAAAACCCAAUAAGUAAAAUGUCUCUUGGAAAUUUGAGUGGGACAGAAAUAUAAAAUCAUUUGUUUGCCUCCACAAUCUGGAAUUGAGAAAUACAAUCUUUCAGGUUUUUUUUGGUGUUUAUUUUUUAACCAAGCAACGAAAUUUUUGUGCAUCUCACAAGCUUCUGAUCCCUAAAAUGGACAUGUUUGCUGACAAUUCUACAUGCUUAUUUUCUUGAUAAUGCAUAUCAUGUGUGUCUUGACUAACUUGCUUGAGUUUUCUGUUUUGCACACAGGAGAGUUUCUUCUUUUCUAAUUGUUGUACAGAUUGUGUUCUUUGGUUGCUGGGUAUAAUGUGUGGAUGGUAUUGACUGGUGACAAAGGGCUUGUAAGUAUAUGCAAUAGCUUAGGGUGGCCAUAUUUCAAGAAGUAAGUGUUAUGUACUGAAGUUCUCACCCUGGGCCAGCAGGGGGAUACUGUAGAUAGUUAUGCAAAUGAAGGAUCGAAAGUGACGUUCAGUGAUUGGAUAGUUUGUAUGCAAAUGAAGGAUCGAAAGUGACGUUCAGUGAUUGGCUAGUUACAGAAAAUGGUUACUGUUGCAUUCUAGUGGAGCUCUAUAUAAGCAGGCUGACUGAGCUCCUCAGUUCAGUUCUGUCCCAGCUUACAAAUAAAGAGCUGCUUUGGAAGAAUCGCUGUGUCGUCUGAUAUGUUCGCCCACAACUUAACAGUAAGAAUCCAGACACAAAUAGUUGUUGAGCUUUUUUGAAAAAUCACCCUAAGACAUUCUGGACCCAGGAAAUUCUAUUUCCAUACCACAGUUCAUAGUAAACCCCCAACAACAAACACCAAGUUUGUAUUUGUCCUUUUUGAAAGUCAUCCUAAAGUUGUAUCUACACAUACAAAUUAGCAUAUGCCUGUUUUGUGCAAAUUUAUGUCACUCAUGGGUCUGUGCCCAAAUUCUUUUAAGCAUCUAGAAACACCCCUGCUUAGUGCAAUACCUCAUCUAUAGUUAAAAUAUCUUAUUUUGCUCAGCUUGAACUCUCUUGUGGAUUUACAUUAUGUAAUUGUACAUUUUUCUCUGCAUUGUGUGGAAGGGGGCAUCAUUUGUGGGACCAAAAAAUGAAGCUUUCUUUUUCAUAAACCGCCAAGAUGUUGGUUAACAGUGGAGAAACAAGAUGGAUCCCUCCCCAAACUUACUUGCCCUCACUUAACUUUCCUUCUCCUCCAUGGGCUGGAAAUGUAAAGGAUUACUGCAGAGGCUCCUACUGCGUUGAAGGAUGGGUAAACUCUAUAUAGGGAGCUGUGCUGACAAGAUAAGCAAAACUGACUCCUAUGACCGCCUUGACUCAGCAGCACCCCAAACACGAUUGUCAUGGUGAGUCAUUUACAAGCCAAGGACAGUCAGCUGAAUUCCAAAUGAAAUAUAACUUAAAACUACAUGCCUUUCCAACACCUGGACAUUUAACACGGUUUUAAAGUUUUGUCUAUUAGUGUACAGUAUAUCUUUGCAAACUUUGAACUGCAUAGCGAUAAAUUAGAAGGAAUAUUGACAACCACCUUUUGAUUAUUAUUUUUUCUAAAGGUGAGUUAGGGUGGAACUAAACAUGUUCUCAUUUCCAUUUCUGUUGAAAUUCUCUGACAUUAUUACACAGGAGAGCUGAUAUAUAUGGGAACUCCUCAAAAGUUGUGCAUGUCAAGUUCACAGACCCAAGGUAAACUUAGGAUUGGAAGUAAAUUCUUUCUCCUUGCUAUCAGGAAGAAUCUUUGGGCAACAGAAGCUGUGGAAUCUUUCUUGCUGACUUUUCAAAGCAGGGAGAGCAUGUUCUGGAGAUGGUCUAUAUCAGGGACCAUGGACCAAAUGUGCCCCCCCCAAGCUCUUUACAGGCCCUGCAUUCUCCUCAGGCCAUACACCACAAAGGACCUACUCCUUGACUUCUUGCAUGACUUGAAUGUAGUGACAUCUGUUCCCACCCACUUGCCCCUCAUCCCACCCACCACCACCAUGUGGCCACCAUGUGACCCUUGAACUAAAAAAACCUUGCUCCCCUCCUAGUGUGAAGGGGAUAAUACUAAGUAACUCUCACUCUGCCUCAGUCGCUAACAUUUUAUGAUUUUUCUCUUUAAUCCUUUUAACUAUGGGGUUUAACAAGUAAUCAAGUGUAUUCCCAGUGGAACAGAAACUGUGUGGGCUACUUCUCAGUUCCUUGCUAUCUCCAAAGUGCUGUUGCGAUUUUGCUGAUAUAUUUUGAAAGCCAUAAUAAAUAUGCAUCAUAGUGACUGACAGUCAACAUACUAGUCUCUCAUGUAUGAUUGCCUUUUAAAAAGACUGUCAGCUCUAUCGAGUCUGUGUUACAACCAGGCCUACGAACAGUGACUUGAUUGGGAGAGGGGCUAACUAAGUCACUAGUGCCAGCAGAACCUGGACCAGGAAUCUGAGACUUCUAACUUAAGUCUGGAAGUCAAGGCCCCCAGAGACUUCAGCAUCUGAGCCUUCAGAUCACCCUUCCCCCAAAAGGUCACAUGUGCAAAGUCUUUCCACUGCAGGCAGGGGGCAACAGAGAAACAACAUGGUGCCAGGCUUCAUUUCAGAAGCCCAUCUCUUUAAUGAUCUCCAUUCUCCAGUAAGAGGGCAGAACCUGGGCGGGCAGUCAGGCUGAGGGACUAUAUUAGAUCUCAGCCAGCAACCAUCAAUUGUUGGAAGAAGUUGUCUCUACCCUUGAAUCUGUCAAUGAUUCUGAUCUACCAGUCUCUGACUACUAUUGUUUUUCGAUCUGUGACUCACAAGCAGAUAUAUCCUCAUUCCCUGUCAGUUCCCCACUCCUGCUAUUUGGAGCCUCCAGGCUCCAUUGCAUCCUCAUCAUGCCGCCUGGCAGAGCUUUUUUGGGUAGUAUGGGGCCUUUUACAGUCUGGCCCAAGGUAGGUGGUAAAAUCAACGGUGGCUCGCUGUGACUUGUUUGCAAAAUAUCUGGGGGAUAAAAUUGCUUGCAUCCACUGGGACCUUGACUCUACAGUGGUACCUCUAGUUGCGGACUUAAUCUGUUUUGUGGUACCGUUUGCAGCAGGAGUGCCUCUUCUGAGCUUCUGCACGUGCGUGAAAUGCGCAGAUCACUUCUGCGCAUGCACGGGCGGUGAACUGGGAAGUAAACACUUCUGGGGUUGCCGCGUUCAUAAGCUGAAAGUCCGUAACAAGAGCGGAACGCAACACGAGGUAUGACUGUACAGUGGUACCUCAGGUUAUGAACGCUUCAACUUGCUUUUUUUGGGUUACGAACGAUUGUAACCCGGAAGUAAGUUGUCCAAGCUCUUGGAGGCCUCGCCGCUGCUUGGAGGCAAACCCGGACAUCGGCGGGGCCUAUGGAGCUCUCUGAGGCCUCCGCGAAUGCCAGGAACCAAGCCCCAACAUCUGCAGUGCCUAGAGCGGCUCCGCGAAUGCUGGGAGCCAAGCCCUGAUAUCCAUGGUGCCUAGAGCGGCUCCGCGAAUGCCGGGAACCAAGCCCCAACAUCUGCAGUGCCUAGAGCAGCUCCGCGAAUGCUGGGAGCCAAGCCCCGAUAUCCAUGGUGCCUAGAGCGGCUCCGCGAAUGCUGGGAACCAAGCCCUGACAUCCGUGGUGCCUGCAGGGCUCCAUGAAUGCCGGGAGCCAAGCCCCGACAUUCACGGUGCCUAGAGCGGCUCCGCGAAUGCUGGGAGUCUAGCCCUGGCAUCUGCGGUGCCUGCAGGGUUCCGUGGAUGUCGGGAGCCAAGCCCCGGCAUCCAUGGUGCCUGCAGAGGCUCUGCGACUAGGCUCCAGCUGCAGGAGCUCUCUGAGGCCUCCACGAAUACAGGGAACCAAGCCGAUUGUGAUUGUGGAAGAGGACCCUGAGCCCCCUCCAAACAGUGAGUUUGGAAAUAAAUAUUUUUUUUCAUCUAAAAUACUGUCUUAUUUAUUUUAUAGUACAGUACAUUGAUUAUUGCCUUCAUUUUAUGGACCAAUGGUCUCGUGAAACAGUACGAUUCGUGUUAAAUUGCUGUUUUAGGGGGUGUUUUUUCAACGUCUGGAACGGAUCAAUCCACUUUCCAUUACUUUCAAUGGGAAAGUCCGCUUCAGGUUAAGAACGCUUCAGGUUAAGUACAGACUUCCGGAACCAAUUAAGUACUUAACCUGAGGUACCACUGUACUGUUAGAGCAGAUGAAUCUUGGGAGGUGUCCAGAGCACUGUGUAGUCCUGUUAUGUUGGAUGGGUUUCAGUUAGUAAGGCUUGAGGAUGUGGACAAAGUGCUUGGAUUGGUUAGGGCAAUCACUUGCGCUCUGGACCCUUGCCCCCUUGGCUGAUAAAAACUAGCAGGUAGGGGAUGGCUGGCGGGCCAGGGAGGUGAUUAAUGCCUCCUUGCAGGAGGGGGGUGGUCCCUGCCUGAUUGAAGGAGGCAGUGGUAAGACCACUCCUCAAGAAAUCUUCCUUGGACUCAGAAAAUCUAAAUAACUACCAACCAGUUGUCAAUCAUGUGAAGGGAAUGAGCCUACAAUGGAGUCUGCAUGAAGCAGAUUCAUAGGAUUGUCACUCGUGCGAGUGGGAACUCUGAAACAGAGCUUUGAUGAGAGCUGCUUCUGUUCCCAGGAAAUACUGAAACACCUACACUUUUGCUUGACCCGAAUUUUUUAUUAUAUUGUAUACAGAUUAAGCCACCCAGGUCCAAGUUCUUUCUUCAUUGUUCUGUGGCUGUGCCUUGUGAAAAUCCAGUCUUAACCUGCUGAAGCAAAGCUCAGUUAAGCAAAAUAUUUAUUUGGAUUUCCUGCGCAUCUUACAAGAUCCAAUUCAGUGGCUAAGAUUGGAGUUUCACUAGCCACAGCUGCAGAACAACAAGAGAUGCUCUCAGACCUGGGGGAAUUAAUCGGUACACAAAAUACGGGUCAAGCGAACUUGUGGAUGAGCUCUUACACAGUUCUUCACGAGGUCUUAAGUCUGACUAUAUUCCACCUCAAUGUUUUUGUUGGUUUAAAAGUUUUGUUAUGGGAUAGUUAUGGGUUGCUUUCCCAGUAGGCAUUUAGUAUGGAGUUGCAAUGCUUUGUUCAUUUACUAUUUCAAUGACAUCAUCCUCAAAUUCUCCUGUGUUACCCUCCAUCCUUCUGUUUGUUUCAGAUUAACUUGUGCUUGGGAUGGUAAAGCUGUUCAGAAGGACAGGUAAAUUUGACUGCAUGCAGAUAAGUGGGGUAGCUAUUAUUAUAGAAUAUGCUUCUGCUUGGGGUGGAUUUUGCUACCCAGUUGAGCUUUUAAAUGGCUGUGAGAUUUGAGCAUGUGUUUUUAUUUUAUCUAAUUUUAACUACUCAGUUCAGUGUGAUUCUGAAUGAUAUGUAUUUGAGUCCCAUGCAAAGGGAAGGGAGUAGUGGGGCUAUAAAAAUUGAAGGGGGUGAUCAGAACACAUGAGGCAUUUUCAUAUUAGCUUUCAGAGUUAAGUAAAUGGUGCGCUGAUUAAGAAACAGCUAAGUACUGUUAUGCAGUUGUCAGCCGAGACAAUAUAAGCUGUUUGAAAGGUCAGGAGGGUGAAUUAAUGUAAUUUAAGUAAAUAAAUUGGAUGAACUUUAGUGUCAGAAAAUUAGUCUUUGUACAAAUUAAUUUGCAUGCUAGGUUGAAAGGUUCUGAGCAGUCUGCAUUCUUUGUGGUAAAUCUCCUCCCUGUACAGAGAUUGACAGUGAGUGUAUGAAAGCAAAGGGACGAAAAUUCUCCCUUCUGUAUCGUUACUACAAUAUUCCCCCUGUAAACUUCAUGUUCUAUCAAAUCUCAACAUGUGCUGAUUCUGUUUUUUGGUAGAAUACAAAAAUUUUCAGAAGACUUUCCAAGUUGGUACAUAAGGGAGGGCAGGGGUUCCAACUUGAAUAAAAUAUUUGGAAGGGGCCAAGUAAACCCUGCCCCACAUAAUCAAUCUCAUGACACGGGACACACAUACCAUUUGAUUGGCAGUGCCCACCAACUUUGUAGGGGUGGGGGUCCCCACAAAUAUUUUAUUGGGGGGAGUGUGAAAUAUUUUAUUGGGGGGAGUCACCCUAGGAGGUGACUCCUAUGAGGGAGGAUAUGGAAGUAUUGUUGCAUAGGAAGGACUAUAGCUGCAGUCUAUAUACACACUCAAGAGUCUUCCACAAGUAGGGAAUGUUCAGGUGGCUUUCUUACUGAUCUGAGAAAUGUAGUGUUCGGAUUUAAGCCUCCUAACAAUACAGCCAGACAAAGAAUAUCAUGGGACAAGUUGAUGAAGUCUCCGUGGGUGGAUCCACACAAAGGAAAAAACCAACAACACUAUAAAUAAGACAGAAAUUAAACCGUUAUAACAAAAGGGGGGGGGGACACUAUGGGAAAUCGCAUAGAAUUUUUUCGCUCUCCAGCGCCAUCUGGUGUUGCAUGUUUAUAACUCAUUCAAAAUGCUGGUUUUUGACUAAUGUAGCUAAGUCCCAUAUGUCCCUGAGGGAUUAAGUUAUAAUUUGAGAAAACAAGAGACUUGUGUAGUGUCUGUGUAGAGUUUCAUAUUCACACAGAACUGUACAAAUAUAAUUCCUCAUGGCAACCCUCAGUGAUAGUAAAUAUAAUUAUGAGUUUUCAAGUGUGUGGGUGUGUGUUAGGCUGAACGCUUGGCCCCCGUUCUAAUUCUUGGAAUAGCCAGGCUAGCUUCCUGGUGAGGUGAUAGUCUACGUAAUGAGCCAUUACUGGAACAAAUGAAGCGGCUCAGCAUCAGAGGCAAAAUGGGUGGACCCCCUCCAUCAACUGGCUGAUAGAAAGACAAAGAGGGGGGGGGCUGGAAAGCCAUAGCGACAGAGCCAUAUCUGAUUUCUGUUUGAAUUCAAGGCUAUGGGAGAAACAAUACCCCUUUGGGUUGUUGAUUCUGUGAACCCCUCUGUCAUAGGCUCAGGUUGCAUAUAAAUAAACCAUGUGUCAUAAAGACACCGCAGUUUCUGCUGUGCCUCAUUCCAAAUGGAAAUGCGAACCCCUGGAAUCUUGCACCGCUCGGAGAUUGGGGUGGCAUGCAGCAAUAUAAUCCAUUUAAUGUAUGGUGAAAUUCUGAGCAGAGAGGGCUUGUUCUUCCCAUCUUUGUGCUUCUUCAAAAUGGGAGCUUCCCACGGGGGCCAUGUGUGAGCCUCCAUUUCAGACAUGUCAAAGUAGCAUGAAAACAGGGAGCAUGAUUCAGUUUUACUUUCUGCCCAGGCAGUGGCGUAGCGUGGGUUGUCAGCACCCAGGGCAAGGCAAGUAAUUUGCGCCCCCUAACCCAUGGAUUUGCGCCCCCUAACCCCCAGAUGUUGCGCCCGGUGCGGCCGGCCCCCCCUGCACCCCCACACUACGCCACUGUGCCCAGGUGUCUAAUUACUCUUUUUAUAAGCAGUUCAAUAAUAAGAUCUUCUAAAAUGACAAAAUUGCUUAUCUUAAAAUGCCUCAAAAUACCAUCUGGUGAGUGACUGUUUUAAUUAUUUUUACAGGAAAGUAGUUACAAGGGAUAGCUCAAUCUGCUAGAGUGUGGUGCUGAUAAUGCCACGGUUGCAGGUUCGAUCCCCGUAAGGGAUAGCUGCAUAUUCCUGCAUUGCAGAGGGUUGGGCUAGAUGAUCCUCACGAUUCCUUCCGGUUCUAUGAUCUAUGAAUAUUUGGAUCCCUCCUAUUGUUGUGGACUACAUUUCCCAUCACCCUGGGCUACUGGCUAACUUCACUGGGGCUGAUGGGAGUUGUAGUCCACAACCUUCCUCUUUCAAUGUGCCCUUUAUGUAGAAAUCUUUCCCAGUCUGUUUUUGUGUUAGAGCUGUUGCAUGCCCAGCUGCAGAGUGAGUAGGAAAGGACCAGAUACUUCGCAUUCACUGGGCAGGAUCCAGAGAGCCUUUUAUACGUAUGAAAGCCACUCCAGCUCACACUUGGAGUCUCCUGCUACUGCUGCUGCUUCUCACAGAGAAGGUGGUGGAGCAUGUGACUUGUAUGCAGUGCUUUUUUCAAGAAAAAUAGGUGCCAGAAGUCACCACAAAGCUCUUACAGUAAGUCACCAGGAGACUCGGGGCAGCCCUGAGCAGAUGCUGGUUUGACGAUGGCUGCGUUCCCCACUCAUGGAGGUGCUAAAAAUCACAGCAAGCUGGUUUUGGGGGUCGCCCUCUGGUUCUGGUGCAGGUCAAAUAAAUGCGUCCCCCGCCUCCCUCUUUUUUAGAUUCAGGUGGACGGCAAGGGCAGCUCGGAAGGGUCCUUACACAAAACUGUGUGUGAGAAAAGGAUGGAAGAAAAGGAAAUACAAGUUGGCCUCGCUCCAUAGCUUGGCCAAUCAUGGCUAGGAGCGGGCUGGAGUCAUAGAUCUUUUAAAAAAGUGUAGGACUCACGCCGCUGGCCAGCUACUGCUCUGACUUGAAAUGUUCAUUUGGGGCGUCUCAGAAGUAUGUAAAGGCAAGAAGCGGGCAGGGGAGCCCCGGCCCAUGAUGGCACUCACCUGAGAGGUGCUGGAACUGUGUUCUGGCACACUCUGGCUGGAAGAAAAAGCACUGCUUGCAUGCGGAAGGUUGGGCUGGGAGAGGCCCUUCUCUCAGACCUUGCAGAGCUGCUGCCAGUCUUGAUGGAGACAAUAUCUGACUAAGGCAAUUUCUGAUGCAUCUCCAUAUGCCACCCUCCAAACCACAUCCUGUGUCAUUGUGCAUGUGUGUUUGUGUGUCCUAACCCUCAGGAGCAGCUGCUUUGGGUGAUCACAAUGGGCUGCAGGGUGGAAGGAGGAGGUAGGGAAUCCCCAUCGCAAAAGCAUAGCUUGGCUCUUAAUUCUUUUUUGUCCUUUUAUUGAAGAAAAUGAACUUGGAAGUGUGACAGUUGUGAGGUUAUUUUCCCCUGUUACAGAUCCUAUUUCCACGCUUCUGCGUCUCAGGCACAGCAACAUUUUUUUCCCUUUGCACUUAAAUCUUCAUGAAAAUAAUUGCAUGUAAAUGGAUGUUCUAAUAAUAUGUUGAUUAAAAAUGCAUUAAUUUUACAUCACCAAAUCAUCAUCAUUAGUUGAAGCCCAAUACACUACAAAAUGCCUAAUUUUUCUUCAGCCGUUUUGCAUUUGUUGGUAACUGAGAUUAACACGGCACUGAAAAAGCUCAUUACGCAUUCCUAGAGAUUUUCUUUUGUUAAUUUGUCCAAAAAAAGACCAUACAUUUAAUCAAUUUUCCACAAAAAAAGCUAUGCUAAAGUGCUGCUAAACUAUCACUAAUUAAACCAGCUGUAUCGAAAAAGGGAAGGGUUUGUUUCUGUAACAGAUAUAGUGCUCAUUUCAUGAGCACAGCGUUUCAUUUCUGCUUUGGGAUUCCUCUUGCAGCUGGAGAGAACAGAAGUACAACAUGGGAAGUGCUGAUGGCAAUUGGGAAUGCUGCUCCAUUUAUUGAAAUCUCACCAUUUGAGCGGUCACUUUCUUUAGAGCUUCAAAUUGCAUAAGAACAGCAGGCGAGCCUGCUGAAUUGAACCAAUGGCCCAACUAGUUCAGCAUCUGAGUCUCACAGCGACCAAUCAGUUCCCUCUGGGAAACCUGUAAGCUGGACCUGAACACAAGAGCACUCUCUCUUCCUUUGUCAAGGGGAUGAAGCUACUUUUUCACAGAGAAGUUGCUUCUUCCCUUUAUAAUUUUGGUUGCCCUUUUAUUGUCACUCUGCAAUUUUGUUUUUAAGGGAAGGCGACCAGAACUGUACACAGUAUUCCAAAUGUGGUUGUACCAUAGGUUUAACAGCAUUAUGAUAUUAGCUUAAUUUUCCAUUCCUUUCCUAAUGAUCCCUAGUGUGGAAUUCAUCUUUUUCACAGUUGUCAUACACCGAGUUGACACCUUCAGUGAGCUAACUACCAGAACCCCAAUAUCUCAUUGCUAGUCAGUCAUAUAUAUAUAUAUAUAUUUGCCUUGACAUGCAACAUUGAAUUGCUUCUGUCAUUUUACUACCCUUUCCUCAGUUUGGUUAGGUUCUUUUGGAGCUCUUUGCCAUCUCUUUUUGUUUUAAACAUCAAUAACUAUUAAGUUUCAAAAACCUGGACCACCUCACUGCUCACCCCUAACUCUAGUUAAUUUAGUAACCAGUUAAAAAGCACAGGUCCCCAUAUUCAUCCUUGUGGGUCUACUUUCUACAUGCCUCCAUUUGAAGAACAGUCCAUUUAUUCCUGCUGUUUCCUGCUACUUAACUAAUAUUCCACAUGCCUCUGCUUACUGUGUUUGUAAGUCACUUUGUCAUUUUACUCAAAGUGACUCAAAAAUGACUCAAAUAAAUAAGUUACUACUGGAAAUAUGAGAAGAAGCAUAACCCACACUUCUCUCACGGCUUCCCAUGAACACCUGAAACCAUUUAUAGAUUAGAGUCUUAUCAUCAUGAUUACUGCACCCAUUGGUGGAGAGACAAGCUGUACAUUGAUAAGCUUAUCUUAUCGCAUGUAGCAACAAUUUCUUUCCACUUUCCUAAAAUAACUGUACAUACUUUCCCUCCCAGUCCUAUUGUGUCUGCUUCUACAUCAUGAAUGACCACUUUAAUGUAACAUCUUUCCUCUUUAAAGAAAAAUGGGCAUCUCAUUCAAAGUGACUUUGCUGAAGUGUCCUCCUAUUGUGUCUCUUUUUUUGUUAUUAUUGUACGGCAGACAAUUGUUGAAAUUUGUAUUCAAACAUGUACCCAUUGUGCACUCCUGUAGAUAGUUGAGAGUGGUUUUGCAUCUAUUCAGAGUAUACCAUCUGAACACUGAGAGAUUUCAGUUUGCUUUAAUAUAUAUUGGGUGUCAUUUGAUAGGUCAGACCGUAGAUGCCAUACAAAAUACAGUGCCUUGGAAGAUUUUCUAAAUGACUUGGGGAGGAUCUGCUUUCAAAAUGGCAUUGCCGUUCAAAACCUGAAGACAUGCUCAGUCUCCUUUUAUCUCUGUUUUGGAAGAAUGUGAGCCUGGUGUAUCAUUUUGGAGCAGGAGAAAGGCUGCACCCUGCUAAGACAACGAAGAUGUUUUUGACGCUUAGAGUUAAUGAUAUCAUAGAGGGUAAAUGUAGGAUGAGGAGCUCUAAUAUAAUAAUAAUAAUAAUAAUAAUAAUAAUAAUAAUAAUAAUAAUAAUUUAUUAUUUAUACCCCGCCCAUCUGGCUGGGUUUCCCCAGCCACUCUGGGCAGCUUCCAAAAGAAUAUUAAAAUACAUCAAACAUUAAAAGCUUCCCUAAACAGGGCUGCCUUCAGAUGUCUUCUAAAAGUCUGGUAGUUGUUCUCUUUGACAUGGGAGGGCGUUCCACAGGGAGGGUGCCACCACCGAGAAGGCCCUCUGCCUGGUUCCCUGUAACUUGGCUUGAAGGCCCUCGGUGCUGGACCUCAGUGUCCGGGCAGAAUGAUGGAGGUGGAGACGCUCCUUCAGGUAUACUGGGCCAAGGCCGUUUAGGGCUUUAAAGGUCAGCACCAACACUUUGAAUUGUGCUCGGAAACGUACUGGGAGCCAAUGUAGGUCUUUCAAGACCGGUGUUAUAUGGUCUUGGCGGCCGCUCCCAGUCACCAGUCUGGCUGCUGCAUUCUGGAUUAGUUGUAGUUUCUCCUGGGCAUAGUCGGCCAAAUGGUGCCAAAGAAGGACAGAACUUUCUUUAUGUAUGCCACAACAGCAGCAAGAAUUCUUAUUGCAAAGUACUGGAAGACACAAGAUUUACCCACUCUGGAAGAAUGGCAGAUGAAGGUGAUGGACUAUAUGGAACUGGCGGAAAUGACUGGCAGAAUCUGAGACCAGGGAGAAGAGUUGGUGGAAGAAGAUUGGAAGAAAUUUAAAGACUAUCUACAGAAAUACUGCAAAAUUAAUGAAUGUUAGAAUGAUGUUGGAUUGAAGUUAAAUGGUUUCUAGCAGCAAUGUUAUAAAGGAAUAUGUAAAAGUGGAUUCUUAACAGGUGAUAAUAUAAAGUUACAAUAUAUUAAGAUAAAAGAUUAAGAUAGAAUCAAAGAGGGAAAGGAUUUGCUGAAUUAACUAAUUCGAACUGGAAUACAAAAAAGGGAGGUGCGAGGAGGUUGGGGAAACAAGCAAAGGAAAGUUAAGAUAUGGAAAGACUAAUCUGUUUUUUUAACUGUUUUUAUUUUGUAUUUUCAUUUUCUAUUUUUUCCCUCUUUCUUUCUUUCUUUUUUCGCUUAUUUUUGUAUUAUGUUGAAACUUUAAUAAAUAUCUUAUAAAAAAAGGAAAAAAAAAAGUUGUAGUUUCCGGGUCACCUUCAAAGGUAGCCCCACGUAGAGCGCAUUGCAGUAGUCCAAGCGGGAGAUAACCAGAGCAUGCACCACUCUGGCGAGGCAGUCCGCGGGCAGAUAGGGUCUCAGCCUACGUACCAGAUGGAGCUGGUACACAGCUGCCCUGGACACGGAUUUAACCUGUGCCUCCAUGGACAACUGUGAGUCCAAAAUGACUCCCAGGCUGCACACCUGGUCCUUCAGGGGCACAGUUACCCCAUUCAGGACCAGGGAAUCCUCCACACCUGCCCGCCUCCUGUCCCCCAGAAACAGUACUUCUGUCUUGUCAGGAUUCAAUCUCAAUCUGUUUGCCGCCAUCCAUCCUCCAACCGCCUCCAGACACUCACACAGGACCAUCACCGCCUUCACUGGUUCUGAUUUGAAAGAGAGGUAGAGCUGGGUAUCAUCCGCAUACUGAUGAACACCCAGCCCAAACCCCCUGAUGAUCUCUCCCAGCGGCUGCAUGUAGAUGUUGAAAAGCAUGGGGAAGAGGACAGAACCCUUAGGCACCCCACAAGUGAGAGCCCAGGGGUCUGAACACUCAUCCCCCCCCACCACUUUCUGAACACAGCCCAGGAGGAAGGAGCGGAACCACUGUAUGACAGUGCCCCCAGCUCCCAGCCCCUCAAGGCGGUCCAGAAGGAUGUUAUGGUUGAUGGUAUCAAAGGCCGCUGAGAGAUCCAGCAGAACUAGGAAACAGCUCUCACCUUUGUCCCUAGCCCGCCGGAGAUCAUCAACCAGUGCGACCAAGGCAGUUUCAGUCCCGUGAUGAGGCCUGAAUCCCGACUGGAAGGGAUCCAAAUGGUCCGCUUCUUCCAGGCAUCUCCUCUGAAGAUUAGUGUGCGGGGUGAGAAUUUGAAAUUCAUGGGGUGGGGAUUGGCUUAAAUUACUUAGGAUGUAUCUGAGUUGGUAGCAUUUGCUAUUUUCAGGUGGAAUCCAGUUCCAUGCUGGGAAUUUCAUAUUGCACAAUUAUAGAUUAUUAAGAGGUCUUGUGCAAGAAACCCACAUCCACAAAAUCUCAGACUUUUUGUGAUAAGGAGAGGAUGGUGGCAAUUCACUGUAAAGUGUGGGAUAACACAUGUUUUGACAUGGUGUCAUCUUACCUCCCCAAAAACAAAUGAGACCAAAAGAUAAUUAAAUAGCCAAUAUCAUCUCAUCUCCCUGCAAACAUAUGGAGCAAUGUUGUCUGUAUUAUGGAUGUGACCCUCUCUUGUCGCUCUCAGCCUAACUAGAAUUUAGAUAAGGUCUCUUAAGGAGCAGGCAUGAUGGAAUUGGGAGAGGAAGGUAACUUAGACCUAAGCCAUAUAGUAAGUGCUACGUAUUUUGUGAUUUUAAUAUAUUACCCUGUUCCUCUGGGAUGGGGUGGACUGAAACUCAAACUGAUGCACAUGAAACUGUCCCAAAUGACUAUUAAAAAUCAUAUUUUGACUGAGAACAUCUGUUGUUAUACAUAAAUGUACAGCACUUAUUACUGUUGUCCCAGUUGGUUGGGGAAAAAUUAGUUGUACAUCCCAAUGUGGCAGUUAGAAAUCCCUGUGGGGAGAGGAGAGUUAAUUUGGGCUGUUUAUACUGACAGAAUAGACGAGCAUAUUCCAAGAAAGCUAAAUGGCCUUUGAUGCUUCCAACAACACGUUGGGUAGUUCACAUGCCUCUGGUGGAGCAGCCAAUGUCAGAAAUGCUGGCUUCCAGUUAUAGAUAGGGAAGGGCCCUCCUCAUGGGCAUGGACUUUGAUAUAGAAGGUGAUUUUGUUAAGGGCAAUGCUGGGUGGGUAAAUACCACACAACAGAAGAUGGAUUGAGAACUGUCAUUUGUCAUAGCACUUACGUAAGUUUUCUUGUUGCAGAACUGCAGCAGAAUGUCUAAGGGUGAUGGAUGUCUUAGCAAAAAACAACAACCAAUCUUGGCUGUGAGUCCUGGAAGACCUGCUGUUGUUUAUGUUAAUUUUUUGGAUCUUUCUUUUGGAUCUUCUGAUUUAUGUGGUUUGGUUGUGUACAAUUCGAUGGUUUAUUUCUUGUUUAUUACUACUUUUGUUAUGUUUGUAGUUUUGCAAUUUUUAAAAUAUGUUGUAAGCUGACUUGGGCAUGGUUUUAACUUUGGAAAGGUGGCAUACAAAUAAAAUGAUUGAUGAUUAAUAGGGACAAAACAUGCUUACUAGAGGAAAUUCAUUACGUUCAAGGGAUAAUAGCUGGAUGAGAGGUGUCACCUGCAUUAGAUUUUUGCAUUUGUUCUGGGAGAUUAAUUAGGCAUGCAUUAAAUGUCAUGGCCCAUGUGAAGGUCUAAGUUUUAGGUCACUGUAGGGAAAUCCCCCUAUACAACCACCAAUAUGGUGGGAUGCUGUGAGGGUUGGCAGGAACUUCAGGGACUUUCCCUGAAUAUAUGAUACAUAGCUUCCUCUGAUUAUUCAUGCAAUCUUGGCUCAGAGGAAAUCCAGACCUAUCAUCUCAGGGCAUGUGCAGACAUCCAGCCAAACUGAGCUGCUUGAGAACAGCAGGCUGCCCAUGAAGGAUAUAUGAAUGGUGGAUCAGGAAAUGUAAGGGAGUUUUCAAGUGUGAAACUUAAAGGGUUACACAACAUUGUUACCAGUUUGCAAACAAACAAUGCACACACAGCAACAAUGUACAUUCAUUACAUGCACAUGUGUGUGUAUAUCUGAAUUGCCCGUGCACAUGCACACACACAUGCACACAUACACAGAGUGGUAGAAUGUUUGUUCCUCUUUGAAAAUGCUAAUUUAAAACUUUGCUGCACGCUUUAAGUAUAAACUGGCUUGACAGUAGUUGCACCAUCUGGUAGCCCUUCAGGGAUUUUCUUUUCCUUUUUUAUUUAAAUAUGCACUACCAAAUACUGGAAGAAGCAAAUCAGAUGGAAAUGCAAUAAAAGGCAAUUCAAAACAAUGUGAUCUCUUUAUCAAAUAUGGCAAAAAUUAGAAGACAAACAUCUCCAGGGCACAACAGUAAAUGAACCAUAACUGGAACAGAAAAAGAUAGAAUUUAAACUCACUACUGAAUAUUACUGAAUUUAAACUUGGUAUAAAUAUGUUGCUAAAGCUGCAAACAAUGUCUGGUUUCAUUACAACUAGAAAUGUGUGUUGUUUUACAGUUAGUAUGGAAGCAGACCCUCUUGAACAAUCUUCCUUAAACUCAUUAUUCUCUGUUAGCAUCAUAUUUAUUACAGGAACAUUCUCAGAUGUCCUCUUUCUCACAUUCAGGGCCCUGUGGUAUGUUUACGCUGUUCUCUGUUUAGUCCGUUUUCCAGCUGUUUUAUAUGCGAAGCCCCCAGUGAAUUUAGAAGCCCUACUUAUUACUUGAAAAUCCAUCAGCAUGUAAUUUAUUGAGAAAUAAAUUUUGUAAUAAUUAAGAGCAGAAUUAUUAACAGAACGCCAAAUGCAGGUGACCUGGAUUACUUUUAAAUACACAGUUGGAAAACAAUAAGCAUGAUUAACAAAAGGAUAUUAGCUUGUAAAUAUUUCUCAGAUAGCUUUAUAAACUUAGGUUCCAGGUCCUAGAAUCUUCCUUUCUCUUCCCAUGCCCUCAUUGCAUCCUUCUCAGGGGUAACACUUGGAAUGCUAAGACUGUUAAAGGCAAAAUGACAUAUUGUACUUCACUGGGUUUUAGUAACAGACAAGAUGCAAUCAUUCUGUUUAGUGAUAUGCUUCUUCUAAAGAAGACUAUGACGCUCAGAAGUGUCACAUUUUAAAUCUAGGGACUUGGCGUUAAUGCCAUAUUGUAUCUGUACCUGUAUCAGUGUUAGUUUCAAGAUUCAGUACUCUGAUCAUCAAUUCUUUAAGCACUGCUGAGGAGUGUUCCAUAUCUUUCCAUAGACUUUAUCACAGAAUCAUAGAAUUGUAGAGUUGGAAGGAACAACGAGGACUGUCUAGUCCAACCACCUGCAAUGCAGGAAUCUUUCACUCAACCUGGGGCUUGAACCCAUGACCUUGAAAUUAAGAGUCUCAUGCUGUAAUGCAUGAGCUAUUGCAGUUCAAACCAUAUGACACACAGCAGCAAGUGCAAUUCAUUUGCUGCGUCCUAAACAGACAUUGAUUUACAAAGUGCAACUGAGAGUGCUGCUGAGUUGGGUGGGGGCUUUUGAGUGCAUAAGCGAGGAAACCUUGGAUAACUGAAGUUGCAAAAGAGACUCCUUCAUGACAAUUAGCAAUUGUCACAUUGGGAGCCCUAAUGGCAGUUGGCACCUUGAAUUCACUAUGUAUUCAGAUGAACACGAUUAUCCAGAGCUCUGUGUUAAAAUCAGACGUAUUGUGUUGCUGCUGGUACAAUCGUUGGCAUCUCAACUUAAAGCGGGGAUGGGGCAGCUGUGAUUUCACAGAUCUUGCUGGACCACAACCCCCAGCAACACUGAUUGUUGGCCAUACUGGCUGGGGCUGAGUCCAACAACAUCCAGAAAGUGACAUGUUCCCUAUCCCUGAAAUCAAAGGCUCUUCAGACUUGCUCUCUGCAACCUUCCUUGAAGGGGAAAGCCCCUUGGUGAUAGGAGGCAGCAUCAGAGGUGGUUCCAUGGUAGUAGUAGUAGUAGUAGUAGUAGUAGUAAUAAUAAUUUAUUAUUUAUACCCCGUCCAUCUGGCAGGGUUUCCCCAGCCACUCUGGGCGGCUUCCAACAAAACACUAAAAUACAAUAACCUAUGAAACAUUAAAAGCUUCCCUAAACAGGGCUGCCUUCAGAUGUCUUCUAAAAGUUUGGUAGUUAUUUUUCUCUUUGACAUCUGGUGGGAGGGCGUUCCACAGGGCAGGUGCCACUACCAAGAAGGCCCUCUGCCUGGUUCCCUGUAACUUGACUUCUCACAGUGAGGGAACCGCCAGAAGGCCCUCGGCGCAAGAUGAUGAUGGAGGUGGAGAUGCUCCCUCAGGUAUACUGGACCGAGGCCAUUUAGGGCUUUAAAGGUCAGCACCAACACUUUGAAUUGUGCUUGGAAACGUACUGGGAGCCAGUGUAGGUCUUUCAAGACUGGUGUUAUGUGGUCUCAGCGGCCGCUGCCAGUCACCAGUCUAGCUUCCGUAUUGGUUGAAAGCAUUGGACUAGGGUGUCAGGUGUCAUAGGGUUGGGGCUCUUUUUUGACAGCCCAUUUGGUCCUUCCUGGGAUCCAGAUCUCCAGUCCCCAGCCAGCUGAGUCUCUCUUGCAGUCUCAAUUCCACCUCCCCUCCCUUGUUGGGACCUGCCCCUUGCUGUCCCCUUGUUGUUGUUCUUGGCAAAUCCUCUGUUCACUCUGGUGCCCUGUGAGAAUAGGACACGCACUAGGAUGGUGUUGCCAAUACAAAGGCACUGUCUCCUAAGUGUUCUGUAGUUUCCAGUGCCUACACAUAGCCAUGGUUUGUCAUUGACUUGCUGCAGGGCCUAGUUUGGGAUUAAUGAAGUGAUCCUUCAUCUCAUUUACUACAUUGAGCCAACAUUCCAGUGUGUCUAUGGAAUUACUUUUGCAUGUCCUACCAUUUUUUGUUUUGCCUUGUUUUUACAGUUUGCCUUCUUAUUUUCAUUUGUCUAUUCUAUAUAUCAUCAUUACUACAAUCUCUUUAUUAGUGUGUUAAUCCUUUGGUCUUCCAGUUUCAGGUCUACAUGUUACCAUUAAUUUUAAACACACAAAUGUCUCCAGGUGGCAUUUCCACUACUAGUGGCUGCCUUAAUUUACACUUUAAAAGCCUUUUAAAAAAAACAACCCUUUCCUCCUGUUGGUAAUCAUUUACAAUUGGAAUCUUGUACUAAUGACUCCAGACUUCAAAAUCCUUUUUUCCUUUUGCUUAAGCCAUUUGCAAGCUUGAAAGGAUCAGAGAAAUGUGUGUGAGAAGCUCUUGAUUGCAUUAGAGGGCCAAGGCAUUGCUCUUUCUGCAAAAAGCAAAUGACCUGAUCACUGCAUCUCACAUAUGUUUUGGUUCAGCAUAAAAAAGAAAAUGAGAUAAUACAAUAAGAACAGUACUUGAUCACUUGCUACAGAAGCACAUUGCCAUUUGAUUCUAUUGUUUCCUCUACCUAUGAAGUAAAAAUUGCCUAUUGAAACCCAAGUAAGGUUUUUAAUUGGAGGGCUGCUUCACCUUUAAGAGUUGCAGAAAUGCAGCUCCAUACAAGUGAAGGGUUCACAUUAUAUUUUUGCUAACCAUGCAGAUUUUUUCAUCUUAUCAGUGCAACAGAAAUGCAGAUACUCAUGUACACACGUUUAUAUUAGUUUUUUGGGGGAACCCCCCUAAACCCUAGAAAUUAAUAAAUGGCAAGAUAUUUGGGGUGAGAAGGGAUAAAUACCAGCUGCAGAGGAAUUCCUGAGCUAGCCUAUGCAAAAUGACCUGGCCAACCUAGGACCAUUAAGAAACAAUAUGGCACCAUUGAGAACCAUUGGCAGUGCAGGAGAACUGUCCUUCCCCCUUGCCCUAAGGUAUGAACAGAGUCUGGGGGGUUGGAAGCUUGCCAGGGUAACUAGGUGUGAGGUGCCACAAAGAGUAUUUUAGCAAGGUGUUCUGGUAAGAAGAACAAGGAAGAAAGACUGGGAUCCAUCUUGGGCAGGAUGGCUGCUUGCUGGCUGGGGGAGAUGACUUGGAUUCCAGGGCUACACUGCUGUGGAGUACAAGCCCCUCUUGAAAAGACUGUCCUGUAAGAUCUGGACUCCCUCCAUACAGACUGAAGCUGUAAAUAAAUGAAUAAAUUAUAUUUCUUAAAGCUACGGCAGUCUCUGUCAUGUCUCAAUUCUCCAAAGCAGGCAUAGGCAAACACGGCCCUCCAGAUGUUUUGGGACUACAACUCCCAUCAUCUCUAGCCAACAGGACCAGUGGUCAUUUGGGAGUUGUAGUCCCAAAACAUCUGGAGGGCUGAGUUUGCCUAUGCCUGCUCCAAAGGAACACAAAUCCUGGGUGAGUGCCUGGAACCCCAUGGGCUCUUGCCACUGCUAGGCAGAGAGAGGGGGAGACACCCAACUUUUAUAACAAUAUAAUCAUCAGAUCUGUAUGGCAAAUCAAUGGCUAACCAAAUGGAGGGGCGUCUCCUGAUAGAAAUUCUAAAACAACAGCAGGAAGAUGGUCAAUCACAUAGUUGAUAGGCUUCACAAGUUUGUCCUCAGAAAAAUAUACCCACUGAACACUUUUAAAGUUAAUACAAAGGGUAAUGCAAAACAUCAUUUAUUUGUUAAAACUAUUUCUGUACCACCUGUCAUGUAAAAACAACACAAGGCAGUGGAGAAAAAUAGAUUCAAAAUUAGGUGAAACCUUAUUUAUCAAAUAAAUAAGGUAAUUUUUAAUUGAAAAUAAUAUUUCUUUUUACUGACUGCUCCCAUAUGUAGCCCUCUGUCAUGCCAAAAGAUUUUUGUGUCUCCAGCAACGCCCCCCACAUUUGUCCUUGACAAUGCGUCACAACCAUAUUUUCACUCUGACCCUGCCCACUUGUAUUUAGUGGGGUUGCCAUACGUCUGGAACAUAGCUGGCAAUUGGCCAUCAGAAGCAGUGUCCAGGUGGAAAUCGCUGAAAUGUCCAGGAAAAUCAGGAUGUAUGGCAACACAAGUUGAGGUUUUUCCUAGGUUUUGCAAAAAACGAAAAAAAAACCUCCUAUAUUUAGCCACACCUACCUUGACAUGUAGUCCUCUCUGCCCAAGAAACAUCACCACCUCUGAUGUAUACAGUAGGCAGUAUAUGUUCUAGCAGAAUCAAAAGUUAAGCUUAGCCAUUUUGGGGAUUUAUACACACAUACAUAUGGGAAGCAGGGAAGCUGAUAUAUAUUUUAUACUUCUCUGCCCCCUCCAAGUGGCUAAUAGCAGAUUGGGGGGAGAGGACGAUUUAAAUUGGGGGGAAAGAUUGGGAUGAAAGGCUGAAUCACUUCUCCCCAAUGCCAUGACUCUGAUUCAGUUUGCCUUUAAGUCCAAAAAAGAAAAAAGAAGAUCAAAGCCAUUAACUGACCUGUGAUCAGAUUUUCUAUGUUAUGCCUAGGCUGGCCCAACUGCAAGAAGAAAUAAUCAUGUUUUAUGUCUGCAGUGUGAAACCACAAGCCAGGUGAGAUUUUUACCUUGAACUUGUCUGCUCUGUAGUGAUGUUACUUCUGGGGAAAAGCAAGCAGUAGAUUUCAUCUACGGGUGUGUAGCAGUGCAUGAGAAACUUCUGCAGUUUACUUUACGCACCAGUGUUGUCAAUUGCACUUAUUCCGAUUAUUCCGUUUCAAUGAGACAGACAUAUCAUUCAAAUAUACAGCUAUGUGUGCUGAAGUAUGGCAGCCAUAACGUUCAUGUUGCUUCAGCUGGGUUUGAGGUGCUAUGUUGUUUUUUUGUGGAAACAGUGCAGUGUAUUGUGUGCAUAUUUUGACCUUGCUCCAAAGCCUGUUUACUCAUAAGAAAGUGCCAUUGAUAUCAGCAGGACCUACUUAAAGUAAAUAUCUCCUUGGGUGCAGCUCAUGAGGCUCUGGAGAUAUGAAUUCAUUUAAAGUAGCUAGGUGUUCCCUCACUGCCUCUUGGGCUGCAGCUCCCUCUGUGCAUCAUUUAUUCUGUUAUCGCCAGGUUGAACACUGCUUUUGUUUUGGGUGAAGACACAGGCAAAGCAGAAGUGGAGCAGUUCUUCCUUCUCUCUGUCACCCAAUAGCAUUUAUCCAUCUUCUCCACACGGAGGACCUACUGUUUGUCCUUCCUCUUGCUUCAAACAUAGCUGAAGAAACCUUUUAGGAAUUACCGCAUUUUUCGCUCUAUAAGACACACUUUUCCCCCUUCAAAAAUUAAGGGGAAAUGUGUGUGCGUCUUAUGGAGCGAAUGCAGGCUCCUUGGCUUCAGCGAUAGCAACGCGAAGCCUCCUAAGCGCAGAGGGAGAGCUCCCCCCGCGCUCCGGAGGCUUCGCGUUGCUUUCGCUGAAGCCGCCUGAAGCCCCCGGAGUGCAGCGUGAACUCCCACUGUACUCUGGGGGCUUCAGGCAGCUAUCCGCAAGCCUUCGGAGCGCAGCAGGAGUUCCCGCUGUGCUCCAAAGACUUGCGGAUAGCCGCCUGAAGCCUGGAGAGCGAGAGGGGUUGGUGCACACCGAUCCCUCUUCUUCUCCAGGCUUUGCUUCGCUGGAGAGGCGCUGCACAGUUUUCCCUCUCUGCGCAGCGCCCCUUCAGCAAAGUGGGAGGAGAAAUGGAAGGGGCUCUGUUUCUCCUGCCGCUUCACUGCAGGGGCGCUGAGCAGAGAGGGGGAGAAUUCCCCCCCCCUGUUCUCCCCCUCCUAUGGUCCAGUGUGUCCUAUAGAGCGAAAAAUACGGUAUUUUUAAACUCUCACCAUUCUGAGCUCAUGCUGAACUUUGGUCCGCCUAACCUUCUCCAUGCAAUUGUUGACUACUUCUGUAACCAUAAGCUUAAAAUACAAUGAAAAGAAACUUUCCCCUAAGAGUUGAAUCCUGGCCAAGUUGAUAGAUUGAAAGCUAAAGAGUACCAGAGCCUACCAAAAUUCCUCUUUGAUCAUUACUAUGGAGAGGAACAGAAAGCUCUGCAAUUUCAUUUUCCUGAUCCUCUUCCAGUUGUUGGUUACGGAGAAAGCUGCCACAUCUAAUUUUGUUUGUGUAGUCCUUCCAUUUGCAUGAAAGGAGAUAAUGUAAACGAAGAGGAGGGGAAAACACUCCGGAGGAUGACAAGUUCAGAUUACUAGCAGAAGCGAGCCAAUUUGCUAUUCAUUAAAUGCUAAUGAACUCAGCACCCAUGUUUUAUUUGUUGUACCUCGCUUCAGACUAUGAUGGUCAUGAAUCACAGUCAAAGUCCAUGAUAAACAAACAUGUCAAAACAAGGCUUCCUUAUAGCACAAUGUGUCAGUCUUCAAAUUCCAGGGAGCAGAGAGAGCCACGACCUUGGAACCCAUUGUGAUGUUACCCAUAGCUGCUCUUUUUAGGAGACUACUGUGGCACAAUUUGCCUAAAAUGGGAAUAAAUGAGGAGGGUG